rnacentral:lncRNA from 1 species
CUGCGUCGUGUAGGAUGCCUGCUGCUGUAUCUAUCGCACUAUGUAUGAUAUCAAAAGUAAGACUCUUAGCCUUAGCCUUAGACGGUUUAGGCUUGUCGGUAUUUACUGUUGUCGUCAUAUGCUGACCACCAAAUUGUUCUUUCUCUUUUUCAAUGAGACCCCCACUGUGGCACGAAUCUGAUAGGAUUGUGAAGCUUGCUCCUUCUGGUAGCCGGUUAACUAAACGUCUGAAGUCCACAUCUGCAGAAACCAUGUAUAUAUAGGGUAUGAAUAUAUGUUGCUAAAAUAAAUAUAUAAAUUCAAACAAAAACCUACCGGUGACAAGAUUUAAAUCACAAGCCACGAUUGCUUCAUCUUGCUUGAAAGGCUGGCCAGGUUGAAAGAUUGGAAUGCGCGUUCCAUGUCCACUGAAGUAGAAAAAUAGGAUAUCUCCUGCUUUAGCCUUGUUCACCAUUCUAUUAAGUGCAUCCUUAAUGUUUGCACCCGUAGGCAGAACCGGCGACCCUGGCGCAUCGGUGAGGACAUUAACAUCGCUUUCCUUAAACCCAAUGUUCAGGAGGACACCACUUAUGGCGUUCACAUCAUUGAUGCAUCCAUGCAAGCUGAAUUGGGUCUUGGGGUAGUUGCAUCCCACCAGAACUGCUCUCUUCGUACCCUUACUCAUCUUGCUUCGCUAAUUUGACUAUUUUGUGUUGCUUGUACCGUUGAAUUAAUGUGCUUCCACUGUCUCACAAAGAACCUAUAUAUAUACACACUAAUUUACAGCACGUGUACUGACCAUAAAGAUGACGACAUGUAGGUAGGUAGGUAGGUAGGCAGGUACAACACUUUUGUUUGUCUUUUGUAUUUUGGAAAAUGCAUGCGAAAUCCAUGCAUAUGCAAACAUUUUGUGCAAGGAACUUGCAUAUCAGUACUGCACAAAAGAGUGACUCUGGAGUUAUGGAAUUAUUUGAUAAUAUUGAAUAUGAAAUAAAUUAAAAUAAAAGAGUGGGUGAUUAAUCCGAAUUGGGAGGAGGACAGGUGUUGUGAUGGACAAAGUGUAAGACAAGGUGGUUUCCUACUGAAGCAAUAAAGCUCUAGCAAAAGGCAGCUAGGUAUUCCUUUUUCAGACAGAGACGAUAAAGGAUAGAAAAUAUAGGGUGGUGGUCGAAGAUAAAUGAUUAUAACAGCACUGAUAUGAUCUGCUUCGCCUUCGUCCACCACCUCAUCUUUAUGUUUUUAUCUUGGUCGUGACUCACGUUGGCCGUCGUCUGCAAGUGCUGUCGGUCCUACUAUCGUGAUUGUGUUACCUGGCUUCUGAUUUCUAUGUAUUAGGGUCUAUUUGAAUGUGAGGUUGGUGUAGGGGUGAGGUUACAAAAUUGAUUUUAAGGGUUAAAAGUUAAAUUAUGUAUCUAUAUAGAUUAAAGAAUUGUUAAAUCAAAAUUUUAUAUUUUUUUGGAAUAAAUUGUAAUUAUACAAAGUUUAACUUAUAAUUUUAUUGAUUUUAGCGAGAUUUAAAUAAUAGUUUUCUAUUUUAGUGGUAUAAAGAGUAAAUUUUAUUUUAAGGGCACAAUUAGACUUGAUUAUGAGUUUGGUCACCCUCCAAGCCUAAUGGCCCUCUUGAAAAAUGAGAGUUUGGGCAAAAUAUAGGUCCGAAAAAUAGGCUUGGACAAAAAAUAAUGCCUAUUUUCCAAAUGGGCCGAGCCUCAGGUAAGAUUUUUUUGCUCGGGUCCAACCUGACUUGAAUUUGCUUAAAAAAUUUUCCUUCCUAUUGUUAAUUGUUGUUUUGCUAUUAUAUUGUUACUUAUUUGUUAUUACUGUUUGGAUAUUGUAUAACUAUUGUUUUAUUGUUAAUUUUGUUACUAUUUUAGAGACAUUUGCUUGCUAAGUUACAACUAUCUUAAUGUUAUUUAAGUAUAAACACUUUUUUUAAUGUAUUUUCAAUUUGUUGGGAAACAUUUAUUUUAAUAUUUUUAAUGUAUUUGAUGUAUUAUAUUUUUUAAAAUAAUAAAUAGUAAAAAAUAUUUUAAUAUAGGCAGGUCGGGCCAUGCUCAAGUUUGGCAUUGUUUUAUCUAGGUCGGGCUUGAACAAAGUUUUAGGCCCAUUUUUGGUUCGGGCAGGGCCUGAGCCUAGAAAAUAGGCCUAAAAUCCCAACUCGAUUGAGCCCAUGAUCUAGUCUAGCCACGACCCCUACCUGCUCUGGUCACCGCCUUUGGAGACAAGAUUAAUUCUUGUGAGAUUGAAAAAAGCGAUGGCGAUAAGACUAAUUACUAUAGCAGUGAGAUUAGUUACUACGGUGAUGAUAUUAAAAUUAGUGGUGAGAUGUGUGUUAGGAUUCAAACAAAGCAAUGGCAAAAAGAUAGAUUUUGGAUUUAUAGUAAGAAAGCAAAAUGACUAUUAUGGACAAAGUAGUUUACACCUUUUCGUAUAUUUUUCUAUGAUUAUUAUUUUAAUGAUAAAAACGUCAUAUUUAAUAUUUUAUUUAAAUAAAUCGUGCAUAUUACUUAACAUAAAUUUAAAAUUUCUAACUAUUUGUUUUAUUUAAGAAUACUUUUAAUUGUUGAAUAAAUAUUAAUAUAUAUAACAUUUUAGAUCGCUAUGACAAAAAUAUCGAAUCAUUUUAAAAUUUUGCAUGUAUGAAAAGUACAAUAAUAUUGAUAAAUUUAAAGGUUGGUGUCACAUCUCAAAAACAGGAUUAAGAAAAAUUGGAUUAGUGAAACCAAUAAUGGUCUUGUUCUGUUUUGAUUUGGGAUUGUGAAAAUUAUAUUAAGUGAAUUAAUUUAACUUAAUGAAUAAGUAAUUUAUUUGUGUGUUGAGGUCUUGUGCUCAAAUUCUUUUCUUUAAAUUUUUAUUAAUUUUUGUUUCAACCUUUGAUUUUGAACACCUAACUUAUAUGUUAUUUUUGCUGAACUAAUAAUAAGGAUGAGCCUGGGGUUCAUCGGCAAGGUUUCAACAUAUGGUCCUGUACUGUUUGAAUAUUGUAUCAACAAAGUUGAAUUUUUUUUUGUUUUAUUUUAAACUUUGGGAAAUUUUCUUAGGGUUAAUUAAUAGAUUUAGUGGUUGGUUUUAAUAAUAAUAAUAAUAAUAUUGAGAUUUUGGGCCAGUUCUUUAUUGUUUUUGAAAAUUACUUUUGAAAAGUAUUGUGGAGAAGUGCUUUUGAAAAUUUUGAGUGUUUAGUAUUGCUGUCAAAAAAUACUUUUGAAAAAUAAAAUGUCCAUUUUAGACAUGAUAUUAUAAAGUAACAAAUAUGUAUUUAAAUAAUGUUCAAAUUAAAUAAUAUUAUGAUAUUUUAGCAAAAAUAUAAUAAAUAAUUUAUUGUUAAUAUUUUAAUAUAUAAUAUUAAUUUUAAAUAUUUCUAAGUAAUUAAUAUUAAUUAUUUAUUAAAUUUAAUUAGAAUGUAUAAACUAUAUUUAAAUAUUUAAAUAUAAUAAUUAAAUAUUUGUAAUUAGACAUAUUAUUUUAAAUUUUUUUAUUUUUAACUAGUACUUUUAACACAUUUGUAUUAUUUUUAUUUUAAAAUGUAUUUGAAUAUAUAACUCAUAUUAGAUAUUAACAUAACAUAGAAAAUAUAAACCUAACAAAUUAAAAUAUUACAUAUAUUUAGAUUAAAGUUUUAAAAAGGGAUAAUAUUUAUAUACCAAAUAUAAAUACUAAAAAUUUUACAAUAGCAUUUACAAUUUAAAGUGAAUUCAUUAAACUAGAAGCUAUAACAUCUCUUGUUAAUUUCAUUUCAAAACCACUUGUAUUGUUUGAUUCACCGUCAUCAUCAUCACUUUCUCGACCAUGUGCAUUUUUUGAAUCAAUAAUAUUCUCAUAUGCCCAGUUAAUAUCUUGAUAUUUAAUCCAGGGAAUUGUUUGAAGGCGCAAGGAGUGCCUACAGUCCAUCAGACAAAAAAUUUCAAAAUUUAAUCCAGUGAUCAAUCUAAUAUCACCAAAAAGAUAAUGAAAAACCAAUAGACAAUAAUUUCUCAAUACAUACAAUAAUUUCAUAUUUAUAAAUAAUUUCUCAACGGUAGAUUUAGUGGUUGGUUUUAAUAAUAAUAAUAAUAAUAAUAAUAAUAAUAAUAAUAAUAAUAUAUUAGAUAUUGAGAUUUUGGGCCAGUUCUUCAUUAUUUUUGAAAAGUGCUUUUGAAAAGUGUUCUGGAGAAGUGCUUUUGAAAAAUUUGAGUGUUUGGUAUUGGUAUUACUGUCAAAAAAUAACACAAAAAAGAUAAUGAAAAAUCAAUAGACAAUAAUUUCUCAAUACAUACAAAUAGACGGUUGACUCCAGAAUAAAGUUAUCUCAAGGAGUCACAUACUUUUGCUACAAUAUCAGCACCAAUCUGUUCAUCUAAGUCUUCCAUUGAAUUCUUUAUUGUGUGAAUCUACUCUGACAAGUGUAUAUAAGUUGCACCACCACCAGGUACUAUCCCUUCAUCCAUGGCAGCACAUGCAACAUUCUUUGCAUCUUCAAUUCUUAGUUUACGGUCUUCAAGUUCCAUCUCAGUAUGCACUCCUACCUACAGUUGUGAUGCAAAGUUCUUAACAAUUUGAAGCAGAAAAAGAUGUGGGUAUGGUAAAACAUUGAGUUAUGCAUUUCAAUUUCAGUAUACACUGCGUCAUGAUUGCAAACCUUAAUGACUGCCACACCACCAGGGAGUUUAGCAAUUCUUUAUGAGAGCCUUUUUGACAAGUAUGUCUUGAGAGUUAACCAAGUCAAACUAGACUUGUUAUCACUCCUAUUCUUUAGGAUCUUAUUCUACUUAAAAUUCAAAUUCAAAUUGUGAAUAGCUGUAGAUAACACUCUGAUGUAAUCUUGUAUAUAUUUGCUAUCAAUAGUCGAAUACAAUUGAGCUGAAUUUACAAACCAAAAUCACUAUCUUUCAUGGUAUCAGACUGCCAGUAAAAAGGUUUCAAUCACCGCCUCCUCUCCUUUUUUUUUUCCUCAUGGCCAAUUCGACUGUUUCCUCUCCACCUUUCAUGCCAAAUCAAAUCACCAUCAAGCUUACUCCCUCUAAUUACCUCCUGUGGAAAACACAAAUGACCCCUCUCUUAUAUAGCCAAAAACUCAUGCAUCAUGUCGACGGCACAGCAGCUCCUCCCAAGACCAUUGACAAUGCUCCUAACCCGGCCUAUGAGCCCUGGUUUCUUAAGGACCAAAUGGUUAUUAGCUGGAUCCUUGGCUCGUUGUCUGAGUCAGUGCUAUCUCAGGUAGUCGGAGCCAUUACCGCAUUCGCAGCUUGGACAAAGCUGCAUCAAACUUUUGCUUCCGAAUCUCGGGCUCAAAUCUGGACCCUUAAAGGCUCUCUUCAUGCCUUAUCUUGUGGCGAUGAUUCAAUCGUCAUAUACAUGGAUCGUGUGAAAUGGAUUUUUGAUCAACUCGGGGCUCUAAAUGCGGCUAUUUUUGAAGACGAUCUUGUCGAUCAUAUUUUACGAGGACUUGGUACCGAUUAUCGACCAUUCGUUCGCAAUCUAGAGGCAAAACUACAGUCAACAUCCUUUGAUGAUUUGUUUGGCUUAUUACUUUCUGAGGAAUUACAAUUGAAAGCUGUUCAAGAGCCUCUUCAUCUUACUGCCGUUGCCCACUUUGUCGGUCGGCAGCCUUCUGCUUUCGCUAAUCGUGGACGGGGUCAUAAUAGUAAGCACAAUGGCAAUUAUUCCAGUCGUGGCCGAGCUGCCUCCCCGCCCAAGGAUCCAACAUGUUACAACUGCAAGGGACGUGGCCACACAAGUCGUCAGUGUCCUAGCCCAAGAUAUGCCGAGUCCUACCCCAAACCCUCAGCAAACUAUAGCUUGUCUCCUUAAACAAAUCCCAAGCCAUGGAUCGUUGAUACCGGUGCCACUCAUCAUUUGACAUCUGAAUUGGGAAACCUGGGCAUUCAUUCUGAGUACACUAGUUCCGAUGAAGUCACUUUCACCAAUGGUAAAACCUUACCUAUCUCUCAUGUUGGCUCGUCUGUCUUAACUCUUAAUUCUCAUCCUUUCAAAUUGUCUAAUAUUCUUUAUGUUCCUGAGGCUAACCUAAAUUUAUUGUCUGCUCCUCAGUUUACACUCACUAAUGAUGUCUCUGUUGAAUUUUUCCAUGAUUAUUUUGUGGUUAAGGAUCGACGGACGAAGCAAAAUCUGCAUAGAGGGUACAUCGAGAAUGGUUUAUAUCGCCUAGCCACUGAUCCAGUAUCUCCUGCUUGUCAUUCAGUUUCGUUGUCUACAUGGCAUGCUAGACUAAGCCAUGCUUGCUCAAACACUGUCAAUAAAGUUCUUAGUUUCAAUAAAUUGUCUGCUUCUAAUAAGCAUGAUUCAUCUCUUUGUGAAACUUGCUGUGUUAGUAAAUCACACAAAUUGUCUUUUUCGGAUUCUACUUAUGAAGCAAAGCAACCGUUAGAGUUAGUUUGUUCAAAUUUGUGGGGUCCUUCUCCAAUUGCUUCUAGUGAUGGUUUUCUAUAUUAUGUGGUGUUUUUUUAUCAUUAUAACAAAUAUACUUGGAUCUAUUUUCUUCUUCGUAAAUCGGAUGUUUAUAAUUGUUUCAUUCAAUUUCAUGCUAUUGUUGAGAAAUACUUUGGUUUACCUAUUAAGCAGUUCCAAUCCGAUUGGGGUGAGGAAUUCCAAGCCCUUGAAAAAUAUUUGGCCUCUGAAGCUAUAAUCCAACGCAGCUCUUGUCCCCAUACCCUUGAACAAAAUGGCUGCGCUGAAAGAAAACACCGUCAUAUAACCGAAACUGGUCGCGCCUUGUUACAUCAUGCCUCUGUCCCUCCCAAAUUUUGGGAUCAUGCCUUUGUUGUUGCUGUAUACACUAUCAACCGUCUCCCAACUCCAAAAUUACACCAUAAAUCACCCUACCAAGCCCUUUUUCAUCGUGACCCUGAUUACAAGUCAUUGAGAAUUUUCGGUUGUUGUUGCUAUCCCUGGUUGCGUCCAUACACCAAAAAUAAGCUUGAGCCUAGGUCUGCCAAAUGUGUUUUUCUUGGUUACAGUGUUCUUCACAAAGGUUAUAAAUGUUUAUCUUUGUCCACCAAUAAAGUGUUUUACUCACGCCAUGUUAUUUUUGAUGAACAGGUUUUUUCAUUCAAGUCAAGUGAUGGGCACGUAUCGGUUCUCGGUCCUCCACCUUCCCCGACAACCAUUUUUUCUCUUGGCCAUCGCUCCGAUUCUAAUCCAUUACCUGCCGUCCCACUACCUACAGCCCUAUGCCCCAACCAGCAGCUCCCUACUGUCCCAAGUACCCCCCACCGACUGCCGAUCAAUCUCUUGCCAUCACUACCGUGUCCUCCCAACCUGCUCCCAUUGUUCCCAAUGACCCUAUCACAUUCCCGAUAGGUUCUAGCAGUCCCAAUGCUUCUCCUACCACUGCUCAGGCACCUACCGUGCGUCAUUCAAUGACUUUACGCUCCCAUACUGGCUCACUUAAAUCAAAGGUUUUUCAUGCUGCUGCGUCCACUACACUGUCAGCCCCUUCGUCAUACAUUGAAGCAGCAAAACAGUAAGUAUGGCGUGCUGCAAUGGGAGAAGAAAUUGAUGCUCUUCUAUCAAACAGCACAUGGGAUCUUGUUCCUCGUUCUCGAGUUUCGAAUAUCAUUGGUUACAAGUGGGUAUACCGUGUAAAAACAAAAGCGGAUGGUUCCUUCGAUAGAUGUCGUGCGCGGUUGGUUGCAAAAGGGCUUCAUCAAAGACCAGGCCUUGAUUACGUUGAGACUUUCAGCUCUGUAAUAAAGCCGGCCACCAUAAGGUUAAUUCUUUCCAUUGCCGUCAAUCGUCAUUAGCCCAUUCGGCAACUUGAUGUUUCGAAUGCCUUUCUUCACGGGAUUCUUGAUGAAACUGUUUUUAUGGAACAACCACAGGGAUUUGUUGAUCAUUCUAAACUUGAUUUUGUAUGUGCUCUAAAGAAAUCGUUAUAUGGUUUAAAGUAGGCGCCACGAGCUUGGUAUUUUUGCCUUUCGAAUGCACUACAACAGCUUGGUUUUCACAGUUCCAAGGCUGACAGUUCGCUGUUUAUAUAUUCAGGUAAUGACGAGUAUGCAUAUUGCUUGGUCUAUGUUGAUGAUUUGGUGUUGACAGGAUCAUCCUUUUCGUUGUUACAACGGUUUAUUGCUCAACUUGGGAAGGUUGUUGCGCUCAAGGAUUUAGGACCGCUAUCCUAUUUCUUGGGUGUUGAAGUUGCGUGGUUCUCGAGUGGCUUGCAGCUCACUCAAUCCAAAUAUAUCAAAGAUUUACUCCAUCGUGCGAAUAUACAAGAUGCAUCGUCGGUUUCGACUCCUUCAACGCCGCAAGCCGACCUCACCGGCACUACUUCUUCUACCUUUGAUGAUCCUAAGCUUUAUCGACAGCUUGUUGGGUCUCUUCAAUAUUUGGCACUCACUCGCCCCGACAUAACCAUGGCAGUAAACAAAGCUCUGCACAAUUUAUGCAUUCUCCUUGCCUCCAUCAUUGGCAAGCCGUGAAACGGAUCCUACGUUACCUUCGCGGCACAAUUGAUCAUGGUCUCAUGCUUCGCUCUUCUCGCCAAGCUUCACUUGUUGCUUUUUCGGAUGCUGAUUGGGGUGGCGACAAGCUUGAUCGAAAGAGCACUUCUGCAUAUGUUGUCUUUCUUGGCUCCAAUCCGAUCUCUUGGAUUUCUCGUAAGCAAAAGACUAUCGCUCGUUCAAGCACGGAUUCGAAAUAUCGAGCUUUAGCAUCAGCUGCUUCGGAGGUUUAUUGGCUUCAGUGCCUUCUUCGGGAACUCAAUUACAAGCUUCCAACAACGCUGGAAGUAUGGUGCGAUAACGUUUCCGCUACCUAUCUAGCUGCGAAUCCCGUUUUUCAUUCUCGUAGUAAGUACCUUGAGUUGGACUUUCAUUUUGUCCGAGACCAAGUACGCUAGAAAAAUCUUCUCGUCUCCUAUGUUCCGACCAUUGAUCAAAUAGCCGAUGUCUUGACGAAACCUUUAUCGACAACUCGGUUUCUUACACUUCGAGACAAACUGAUGGUGACUUCCCCCAUCCGUUUGUGGGGGGCUGUUGAGAGUUAACCAAGUCAAACUAGACUUGUUAUCACUCCUAUUCUUUAGGAUCUUAUUCUACUUAAAAUUCAAAUUCAAAUUGUGAAUAGCUGUAGAUAAAUUGAUUUUAUUAUUAUGAGAGUUAACCCGGUUUGUGUAAGGGUCAGGUUAGAAAAUUGAUUUUAAGGGUUGAAGUUAAAUUAUGUAUCUAUAUAGUACUUAGAAGUGUUAAAUCAAAAUUUUAUUAUUCUUUUUUGAAAUAAAUUGUAAUUAUACAAUGUUUAACAUAUAAUUUAAUAGAUUUGUCUAAAUAGUAAUUUUUUAUUUUAGACGGUAUAAAGAGUAAUUUUUAUUUGAAGGGGCUACGAUUAGACCUGAUUAUGGGUUGGGUUAUUCUUUCAAACUCGAAGACCUGCCCAAAAAGCGGGAUUGUUUAAGCAAAAAUAUAGAUUUGAAAAAUAGGCUUGGACAAAAAAUAAUGUUUGUUUUCCAAACAGGUUGGGUCUCAGUUAAUAUUUUUUGCUCAGACCCGACCCUGCUCGAAUUUGCUUAAAAAAAAUUUCCUGCUGCUUUGCUACAAUUUUGCUAUUAUAUUGCUACUAUUUUAUUGUUAAUGUUUGAAAAUCGUAUAAGUUUGUUUUACUAUUAAUUUUGCUAUUAUUUUAGAGGCAUUUUCUUGCUAAGUUGCAACUAUCUUAUUGUUAUUCAAGUAUAAUUUUUUUAAAUGUAUUUUCAAUUUGUUGAAAAAUAUUUAUUUUUAUUUUUGUAGUGUAUUUGAUAUAUUAUAUUUUUUAAAUAAAAAUAAUAUAAAAAAAAGUUUAAUACGGGUGGGCUGAACCAGGCAUAGGUUUGGCAUUUUCUUAUCUGGACUGGGCUUGAUCAAAAUUUUAAGCUCCUUUUUCAAGUCAAGUUAGGCCCAAGCCUAGAAAAUGGGCCUAAAUUCCCAACUCGACUUAGCCCAUGAUCAAUUCUAGCCACGUCCCUAUUUGCUCUGGUCACUACUAGCGAUGAGAUUAAUUUCAAUGAUAUUAAAAAUAGCGGUGACGAUGACAUUAAAUACUAUAAUGGUGAGAUUAGUUACUAUAGUGAUAAGAUUAAAAUCAGUAGUGAAAUGAUUUUGGGAUUCAAACACAACAAGGACAGUAAGAUAGAUUAUAGAUUUAUAGUAAAAAUGCAAAAUGACCAUUAUGGACAUUAAACUAAAGUAGCUUACACCCUUCCAUAUGCUUUUGUACAAGUAAUAUUUUAAUGAUAAAAACGUCAUAUUUAAUAUUUCAUUUAUAUAAAUCAUGCAUAUCUUUAACAUAAAUUAAAAUUUUCUAACUAUUUAUUUUAUGCAUGAAUACUUUUAAUUGUUUAAUAAAUGUUAAUAUAUACAAUAUUUUAGAUCGAUAUCAUAGAAGUAUAGAAUCAAUUUGAAAAUUUAAAUGCAUGAAAAGUGCAAUAAUAUCGAAAAAUAUAUGAAAGCGUAUAAAUUUAAUUUAGUUUCACACUGGUGUAAGCAGAUCCCUCCCCUUUUAAUGUGCAAAAUUAAUUAUAUCAUUUAAAUUUAUGCAUUUAAUAUUAUUUAUAAAUAUAUUUGUUUAUACACCUAACUAAUGUAAAUAAAAUAUUAAAUACGAUUUGAAGUAAUGAAAUAAAACAAAUUUUAUAAAUAAAAAUAUUAAAAUUGUUGAAAAAUAUGGAAAACGUUGAAUGGGAUUAAGUAAGCAUUUCCAAUCACUCUGUGAAUGCCUCGAGCUUCUGGAACCUGCACUCUAAAAUUCAGACUAAUACAAAAUGUUACAUGAAAGAAGUUAAAAUCAUGAAAUAAGUACUUUUCAAAAUUCAGUAUUUACACUUGCCCAAUAAUAUAAAUAUAUUCAGCAUUUAAUUUUCUGUGACAUACAUAAAAUUUUAAUAAUACAAAUUCAGUAUUUUUCUUGGGUUUAUCAAACGAAAACUGAUUAACAAGGAGAUGUUAAUUGAAGUAGAUAAAAUUCAUUCCUAACAUCACUUGAAGAAGGUUACAUGGCAUCUCAGAAAAUGAAGGGUAAGCAUUCUGAAAAGGUUAGUUUCUUCAGAUACUUUCAAAAUACAAAUUUCAGACCAUAUCAUUCUGUGUACACAUGAAAGGCAUCAAAGUAGCAGUUGAACUUACGGGGAUCUUUAGGGGAAAGAAAGGAGAGAGAAGACCACAGACAAUGAAAUCCAUACAAGUAAAAAAAUGCACAACAUACUCCAUGAUCCAUGAUUUUAUGAGAAGACUCUUUUGAGGAGAACUUCCUAGGUCGACUUAGAAUAUAUGAAUGACAGUCUUCUAUAGAACUUCCUAAAUACAGUCAGUUUUAAAAUUCAAAAAAAGAAAAAAAGAAAAACCUUGAUUAAUUGUCAGUUAUGUCCUUUUCAACUAGCUGGUUACAUACUGCAUAUGAAUGCUGACAAACAUUACUUGCGCCCAUCAGCUUAUGCGAGAUUCUCCAGUGUUGUAUGAAGAGGUUCCUUGAAAUGAUUCCCUAGCAAAAUGGCAAUACAGUGGCAAAGGUGAUAUUUCCGACAUCACCUAGGUUAUUUUUAUUUGAUUUAUCUGUGAAGUUAUGGUUCUUUCUUUCUAAUAGAUUAUCUAUCAAGUUGAUUCAAGUAAUUAAGCUUAUUGGCUAGAAAUAAACAAAGAAUCUUGGAUUUCUAAAUUCUUAAUAAGAUCAACUAUAUUUGUUGAAGGAUUCGGUGUAUGCUAAAGUUGCACCAAAAUCCACAGCCAAAUACUCAAAAACUCUGUUUGUAUAUACUAUAUUGUCAUUCAAAAACUGUCAGUCAAUUGCUCAAAAACAAACCUUCUGAAAGUAGUGUUUGAUAUCUUUCAGCAAGGUAUCAAUAGUCUCAGAAAUGGACAGACAUACUUCGGUGCCACUGAAAACAAAUAAAUAAGAUCAUAAUGUUUUGUAUAACCUAAGAUCAGAGAAAUGUUUAAGUAUGGCGCAUAUACCUGAACUUUGCAUCAUUCUUAGGAAUUGAAGGUAGCCUAGUCAGCCUUCUGGCAGAAACACUUCCUCUAAGAUUUAAGUGAUAAUGAUAUAUCUUACAGUCUACAGAUUUACCUUGCAUGACCUAAUCAUUUUUAAAAGCUUAUUUAUGCUUUUGAUGAACUCAUUUGAAAGAAAACCAGCCAAAACCAUACCGUUUCAACUUCAAAAUGACAUGAUUUCAAUGCAUAUUUUCCAAUUUAGAAAUAGCUUCCUAUUUUUCUGAAAGAUCGCGUCACAAAAAAUCACAGUUAAUAAUUCUAAUUAUAGUUACGCAAAAAUUAAAGGAAGAAUGAAAAGCAUUCACUUGAAACUCGAACGAUUGGAGGAGAGCUAUUGAGAACGACUGAUAGUCGGCAAAGAUUUUCGGAUAAACGGCAUCUUUGAAUAGCAAAAGAAAUUAACUGACAAUACGAAAAACGAAAGGAAAUUAAAGAAAAAAGGAGAUUAGAGUGGAUUAACAUAUUAAUAUUUAGUUUUUUCCAAACCUAAGAUUGCUUAAGGUAUCUAUUAUUUGGUCCGUAAAAAUAUAUUGUGAAAAUUUUAUGGACUAAACACCAUUGUAAAUCACAUAUUCCAGUUUCGGUAAGUAAAGUUAAAAAAAUUUUAAAAAAAUUCAGAAGAACUGAAACAUCAAUGAAACCCCAAUUUUCUAAUUACCCAACCAGCAUAAGCUAGAAUUCAGAAGAAAAGAGAAAAUAAAUUACAGCAGAUCUAGAAAUUAAAGAAAAACACAAAAAUAAAAAGCCAAUAAGAAAUUUUUUUUAAAAAAAAAAAAAAAAAGAAAUGAAGAAGAGCUGUCUUACCUGAGACAAUGUCGAUUGAGACUAAGAAAAGACUAAUAUUUUCUUCAAUGUGAGGAGCAGCAAAAAUAGAAAAACAAUGGACGAGAUUUUGGGGUUUUCAAGCAAUGAAAAGAUUGAGAAAAAAAGGGACGGGAUUUUGGGGUUUCAAUCAAAGAAAAGUCUUGAAAAGAAAAGGGAAAUGUUUUGGGGGGUUUCUAGCAAAGAAAAGAUUGAGAAAGAAAAUAAUUCGUCCUUGGAGAUAAGGCAUAACUUGUAUCCAUGCGCUUCAUAUUCGCCUGGAGUUCGCUCCUAGAAAUAUAGCCAUCUCUACCCCUCACGUCAAUCCCACAAGCCUCUUAUCCAUUCUUAUUUGAUCACGGAGGGGAAGGCAAAAUAGAAAAACUCACAUUGGGUUUAGGGAUAAUCAGGCUCGAACUGAUGACUUCACCGCGUCAAGGUGAUAUCACUGAAAAACGGUUUGCAGUGUUUUUACCACAAAUGCCGUUAUUUCUUACUUUUGUGGUGUUUUUAUCAUAACCGCUGCUAUACUUUACCUAUUGCGCUAUUGUUUUAUCUAUUGCAGUGUUUUUUUGUUAGCGCCACUAGUGUAUAAUAUUUGCGGCGUUUUUUGUCUAAGUGCACUAAAAAAACCUUAAUUUCCUAUAGUGGAACCCUAUGUGAUGGCAUGAUGGUUAAGAGUAUUCAUCAUCCUAGGUGAUGUGUGGGUUCAAAUCGUGCUAAUUACGUUUGUCGUUCGAGCUUUGCCCUGUUAUUGUAAUUCACCAAAAAAGAAAAAGUUAAUAUUUUGUUUUCAGGGUUUUUAUAUUUGUUAAGAAAUACCAGUGACUAAAUGGCUUAGGUACAAUUAAACAAAGUUUAUAAUUUAUUGGGAUAUAUUUUAAAAUUAUAUAUAAAUAUUUAUUCAAUGUGUAAUUUAAUACGUAAAUUUUAAUUUUAUACAAUUAUAUAUAUGAUUUUUUUAUAUCAAAUUCCAUAUUAAACUAUUAGAAUUUACGUAGAUUCAAAAAUAAUAUUAUUUUUUUUGGCUCACAUGCAAUUUAUUUAGAUACGUUACGCAUACCUCACUCAAAAUUUUUAAAAAAAAAAUUAUGAAGGCAAGUUAUGUUUUUAUGGAUGUAAUUUAGUAAUACAAAUAUUUUAUUCUUUAGCUGAAAAAGAUAGGUUUUUUUUAUAAUUUAAUUAAAAUUUACGAUUAUCAUUCAAUUUAGUGUAGCUUUUAGAGAUGACAAUGGAGCGGGGUGAGAGUAAAUAAUUGUUAAAUUUAUUAUCGCUCCAUCAUUUACAUUCAUUCUCGACGCAACCCAACCCACUUUGCUCUACUUCAAUUUAUUUUUUGAUAUUUGUCAUUGAUAUUUUCAAUCUUUUUAAAGUUAUAUAUUAGGGUUAUGGUUCUUAAAUUAUACAUAAAGUAACUUUUUUAAUAUCCCAUCUUUAGAAAAAAAAAAGAGCCACCUUCUCUAAAUUGCUUUUGUGCUAAUUUGGAAGAUCAAAACUUCAAUGUCCGUAUAUUUCAAGAAAUCAAUGAAUUAAGGUAUACUUUCGAAUCUAGUUUUGUUCUUGAUGAUUUGACAUGAUAGAUUCUGAUUUACAGUUUUAAGUUCAUAUCAUAUUUUGUUUUACGGUUCUAAUAAGUGGCAUUCGAGCCUCGUCAUGUAGAAUCAUUCUACUUCUAGCUAGAGCUUCUUCUCAUUGAUUUUCUUUUCUUUUAUUAUUUCUUUUUUACUUUGUUUAAAUUUUAAUUUUUUUUAAAUUUUAAACUCUUUAUAUAUUUAUUUUAAAAAUAAAAUUAUCACGGAUGUAUAUAAAUACAACAUUACCUAGUGCUAUCUACUCAUUUAUAUUUUUCAAUUAAAUUUUUGUUUUUAUAAAUCUCUACAUGCUUACAUUACUUCAAUACAACACCAAAGGAACCAAAUGUCAAACACCGACACCUAUAAAUAAAAUUCUUGCAAAAGAAGCCGUUUUAUUUAUCAUAAAAUUAUAUAAGAAAUAGCCAUACAUGGCGAUUACAUAAGCUUGAAUGCCUUAAAACACACAGACAUACGAUAGUAAUAAGCAAACACACACACAGAGGAUAGUAAUAAGCAAACAGACACACAGACGCAGUAAUGAAGGCUAACUUCAACUUCGUAGUAGUGCACAUCGAUCGAGCACAUUAUUAUUUAGUUUAGAGUUUCGACCUCUAGUGAUCGAAAACCCUGGUUCAAAGCCGGCAGCUUACGCACCCGUAGUGGUGUUGGAUUGGUGGCCAAGAAAAGCUGCAUCAGCAUUCUCAUCACUGCAAUAAAGGCAGGGGUGCUGCUGUCCAAUUCCUAGGUUUAUUAUUCAUUCCUGCCCAUCACCACAAGCUGUCUAUUGGUUAAUGCACCAUUGCUCUCCUUGAUGACCUUCAGAACUGUAUAGGUAAAGGCCCCAAACGCCUUUCCUCCAGUUUUGUCACUCGCUGGCAUAUCAAUUGAAAGCUCAUUGGCUUGGCACCCACUUAACAGAAUUCCCUCAUCCUCCGUCAGCGACCUCAAAUUCAAAAUAUCACGUUCAUAAUGGGGUAGGAAUUUGAGACUCACAUUGUUCCCAAAGAUUGUGGUCAAAAGAGAGCCAAUACCCGUCAUAUUGUCUGUUCCAGUGUUGAUGGCAUUGGCAACUGCUGUUGUGUCCAAGAAGCUUUGUGUCGCGCUCACGACGUUGGCUGCUGUUUGUAGGCACUGGUAUAAGGUUUCAAUGGAAAUGCUCCUAGUCUUGUAAUCAACAGGUGGUGCUAUACCCCUUAAGAGUACUAUGGGGUCCAAUUUGUUCUUUACUUUUAUCAAUCAGACCACCACUGUGGCAGGAAUCCGAAAUCAUUGUGAAGCUUGAUCCACUUGGUAGUUGCUGAAUCAAUUGCCCCAAGUCCACGUCUGCACAACCAUGGCAACCACCAUAUGAUAUAAAUAAUAGUUUGCUUAGAUUGAGAGUAUUUUAAAAUUUUAAUUUACCGAGUUGAUUACGUACCAAAAAUGGGAUUGAGAUCACAAGGCACAAUUGCUUCACCCUCGUUGGGAGGCUGGUGGGGGUCAAUGCGGUGCACAAUUCCAUGUCCACUAAAGUGGAAAAGCAGGACAUCUCCUUCUUUAGCGGCGACCACCAUCUUCUUGAGUUCAGCCAUAAUGUUUGCACGCGUAGGCUUAUACGUGGACUCUGGUUCAUCAGUUAGGAGCUCAACAUUUUCGGAAUCAAAGCCAAACCUGCUCACGAUCAUUUCUCUCAUGGCUUUCACAUCAUUUACGCAUCCGCUCAACUCGUUGAUGGUGUUGGGGUAGUUGCAUCCAACCAGAACGGCUCUCUUCUUACAUUCGGUGGCCAUCUUGCUUCUAUUUUGGGUCGCUUGUCUUGUCUUGUGCUUCGGACGUUGCACUAAACACCUAUAUAUAUACACACAUACACACUGUAGUUUACACUAUGCUCACUGACCAUACUCUAAUAAAUAAGACAUCAUGUUGGUAGGUACAACUGUUUUAUUUUAUUUUUUUGUUUAUAAAAAUGCAUGGCAAAUCCAUAUACAUGCAAUCAGAUGUCUGUAUAAAAGUACCACUGUUAGAGUGUAUUUGGACUAAAAAAUUUAGAAUUAAUUUAAAAUAUUAAAAUUUGUAAUUGUUUUAUUUAGAUAAAUAAUUGAUUUAGGACAAAUUAAGUUAUUAGAAUUUUACAAAUUAAAAAUAAUUGUAAAAUAAAAAAUUAUAUUACAAAAAAAUAAAAAUAAAAAUAAAAAUAAAAAUAAAAAUAAAAUAAUUAUAAAAUAAUUUAUACACAAAAAUGAAUAAUUUGAAAAGCUUUCCAUAUUAUUAAGUCCAAAUUUGAUACGAUACUUUUCCAAUUAAGCAAUUUUGAUAUAUUUGGCCUCUAAUAAGAAAUCAACAUAUGGAAUGGGUGAUUAAUCCGACUUGGGAGGAGGACAGGUGUUGUGAUGGACAAAGAGGAAGAUAAGGUAGGUAUUCCCUUUUUCAGACAAAUAAGAUAGAAGAUAGAAGAUAGAAAAUAUAGAGUGGUGGUCGAAGAUAGAGGAUUAUAACAACACUGAUAUGAUCUGCUUCACCUUCGUCCACCACCUCAUCUUUAAUUAUGUUUUUAUCUUGGUUGUGACUCACGUUGGCCUUCGUCUGCAAGUGCCGUCGGUCCUACUAUCCUGAUUUCUAUGGCCUUAUUUGGCAAUUGGCUCAUAAUGGACAAAUAAUAAUUGUAUAAUGUUUAAGUUAUAAUUUUAUAGAUUUAAGAGAGAUCAAAAUAAUAAUUUUUCAUUUUAUGGGGUAUAAAGUGUAAUUUUCAUUUUUAGGGGGUCAUGGUUAGAUGUGAUUAUGCCACAUGAAGGUAUGCCGGAAAAGUGGGAGAGCUUAAGUAAAAAUAUAGGCAUGAAAAAUGGGUUUAGAUAAAAAAAAUGCCCGUUUUCGAAACGGGUCAAGCCUUGUGUAAGAAUUUUUUGUCCGGGCCCGGCCCAGCCUGACUCAAAUUUGAUUAAAAAAAAUUCUUGGUGUUGUUUAAUGUUGUUUUGCUACCAUUUUACUAUUAUAUUGCUGCUAUUUUGUUAUUAUUGAUUGGAUAUUUUAUAACUUUGUUUUAUUAUUAAUUUUGCUACUAUUUUAGAAGCAUUUGCUUGUUAAGUUGCAACUAUCUUAGUGUUAUUUAAAUAAAAAGACUUUUUUUAAUGUAUUUUCAAUUUGUUGGGAAAUAUUUAUUUUAAUGUUUUUAGUUUAUUUGAUGUAUUAUAUAUUUAAAUAAAAAAGUUUAAUACGGGUAGACUGGGUCAAGCUCAGGUUUUGCAUUUUUUUUAUUUGGUUCAGGCUUGGACAAAAUUUUAGACCUAUUUUUCGGGUCGAUUUAGCCCAUGAUCAAGUUUAGCCACGACCCUUGCCUGCUCUGGUCACUGCCUCUGGCAAUAAGAUUAAUUCCAGUGAGAUUGAAAAUAGCAAUGGUGGUGAGAUUAGUUACUAUAGUGAUGAGAUUAAAAUCAAUAGUGAGAUGUGUGUUAGAAUUCAAACACAACUGUGGUUUAUAGAUUUAUAGUAAGAAAGUAGAAUGACCAUUAUGGACAUUAAACUAAAGUAGUUUACACUCUUCAAUAUAUUUUUGUACAAUUAAUAUUUUAAUAAUAAAAAUUCAUAUUUCAUUUAUAUAACUCAUGCGUAUUGUGAAAAAUAUAAUGUCGGUAAUGACAAUAUAUCGCAAAGAAAAAUAAAAAAAGAAAAAUAAAGAACACACAGAUUUUACGUGGAAACCCAUUCGGGAAAAAAAACCACAGGCAGAGGAGAAGAAAAUUCACUAUGUCGAAUUCGAACUAAUUACAAGAGGAGUAGACUAUACCUAUUUAUAGGCUUGUAAAACCAUAUUCUAAUAGGAGUAAAACACCUUAUUCUAAUCAAUAUCAAAUAGAUAGAGUUUAAUAAGGUUUAAAAAACCUUAUUCUAAAAUAAAAUAAAAGAAGUAUAAUUCUAUAGGGAUUUUACUUUUAUUUUAUUUUACCACAGUAUUUUAUUAAAUAAUGAUUCGGGUCACUUAAUUCUAACAAUCUCCACCUUGAAACGAAUUCUUAAUGAACAAGUUCUUCAUCGCGAACUUUCAACGAACAAGUUUUUCAUCGCGAACUUUCAACUUAAGGGUUUAUCUUCAACAAUGAACACCAACCAAGUCUAUGCAAUGCUCAAACUUGGUUAUAGGAAGUGACUUAGUCAUCAUAUCUGCAGGAUUUUCAUGAGUACUAAUUUUGCUCACAACAAAAUCACCACGAGCAAUAAUAUCACGAACAAAAUGAUACCGAACAUCAAUAUGUUUUGUUCUCUCAUGAAACAUUUGAUCUUUUGUAAGGAAGAUGUCACUUUGACUGUCACAAAAUACUGUAUUGAUUUGAAGGUCUUCAUUGAGUUCAUUAAAGAGUCCCUUCAACAAAAUAGCUUCUUUACAAGCCUCAGUAAUCACCAUGUACUCAGCUUCAGUGGUGGACAAAGCGACUGUAGUUUGCAAAGUGGCUUUCCAACUGAUUGCACAACCUCCGAUUGUAAAGACAUAACCUGUGAGAGAUCUUCUUCUAUCGAGGUAUCUAGCAAAAUCAGCAUUAACAUACCCAAUGACUCCAUCUCUAGUUCUUCCAAACUGUAAGCAAACAUCGGUAGUACCUCGUAAGUAUCUUAAAACCCACUGAACUGCUUUCCAAUGUUCUUUACCGGGAUUCACCAUGUAUCUGCUAACUGCAUUAACUGCAUAUGAUAAAUCUGGACGUGAACAAACCAUAGCAUACAUGAGAGAUCCCACUGCACUAGAGUAUAGAACAUGUGACAUAUACUCAAUCUCAUCAUCUGAUUGUGGAGACAAAGCCGAUGAAAGUCUUAAAUGGGCUGCUAAAGGAGUACUGACAGACUUAGCAUUCUGCAUAUUGAAUCUACAAAGAACUUUCUCAAUGUACCCCUUUUGACUUAGGUACAAUUUACUUGCUUUUCUAUCUCUGAGAAUCUCCAUACCAAGUAUCUUCUUCGCUGGUCCCAAAUCUUUCAUCUCAAAUUCUUUACUUAGUUGGGCUUUGACCUUUCUUAUCUCUCCUUUAUCUUUUGCUGCUAUCAACAUGUCAUCAACAUAAAAGAGUAGAUACACAAAAGAACCAUCACUGUUUUUCUUAAAGUAAACACAACUGUCAAAGCUACUUCUUUUAAAAUUAUGAGAAGUCAUAAAGGAAUCAAACCUCUUAUACCACUGUAUUGGUGACUGUUUCAAACCGUAAAGGGACUUUUUCAGCAAGCAAACAUAGUCCUCUUUUUCUGAGAUUGUAAAACACUCUGGUUGUUGCAUGUAAAUAUCCUCCUCAAGUUCUCCAUGCAAAAAUACAGUUUUUACAUCUAACUGCUCAAGCUCCAAAUCAUGCAUGGCUACAAUACCAAGCAAAGCUUGAAUCAAACUAUGCUUCAGAACUGGAGAGAACAUAUCUGUGAAGUCCACUCUUGGAAUUUGACUGUAACCCUUUCCAACAAGCCUUGCUUUAUAUCUGGGUUCUUCAACUCUUGAAGUCCCCUCUUUCUUCUUAAACACCAAUUUACAACGAACAACCUUUUUACCUUUAGGAAGUUUCACAAGAUCCCAUGUUUUAUUUUUGUGUAGUGAUUCCAUCUCCUCUUGCAUAGCAAACAUCCACUUUUCUAAGUCUUCACAACUAACCGCCUCAGAAUAAUUAGAUGGCUCUUGGUUUGCAUCUAUAUCUUCAGCCACAUUUAAAGCAUAAGACACUAGAUCAGCCUCGGCAUACUUCUUUGGAGGUUUAAUUUCUUUUCUAGUUCUAUUUUUGCCGAUAGAGUAUUAUGGUGAAGAAGCAACUCUAUUUUGAAUUUUUGUACUGGCUUCAGUAGUCGACUCUGUUGUAGAUUCUGAAUUAAUCUAAUGCUCCACCUUCUUUUGAUUUUCUUUAUCGGAAGAGUCUUUAAGAGAUAAGUUAGGUAGCAUAGCAGUUUCAUUAAAAACAACAUCUCUGCUAAUCACCACUUUUCUAUUUUCAGGACACCAUAACUUAUACUCUUUUACACCAGCUUUAUAACCAAGAAAAACACAUUUAAUAGAUCUCGGUUCCAAUUUUCCAUUAUCAACAUGAGCAUACGCAGGACAACCAAAAAUCUUUAAAUUAGAAUAGUCAGCAGGAUUACCAGACCAUACCUCUUGUGGAGUCUUUUUCUCAAUGGCAACAGAUGGAGAUCGGUUGAUCAAAAAAAUACAGUAGAGGCUACUUUGGCCCAAAAUGACUUUGGUAAGCUGGCAUUUGACAACAUACAUCGAACCUUCUCCAUAAUCGUUCUAUUCAUUCGUUCUGCAACACCGUUUUACUGUGGAGUAUGACGAACUAUCAAGUGUCUCACGAUCCCUUCUGACUUGCAUAGUUUAUUGAAUUCAUCAGAAUAGAACUCUAAGCCAUUAUCUGUGCGAAGGUGUUUUAUUUGCAUUCCCGUCUGUUUUUCAAUCAUGGUUUUCCAAGACUUAAAUGCGGAAAACACAUCGCUUUUCUGCUUCAGAAAGAACGCCCACACUUUUCUACAAAAAUCAUCAAUAAAAGUUAGCAUAUAAUUAGCUCCACCUCUCGAAGAUACUCUGGAUGGACCCCACAGAUCAUAAUGAAUAUACUCUAAUGUUCCCUUCGUGUUAUAGAUUCCUCUGGUGAAUCGAACUCUUUUUUGCUUCCCAAAAACGCAGUGCUCACAGAACUGUAGUUUGCAAAUUCCUUGCCCAUCAAGAAGUCCUCUUUUGCUCAAUUCUGCCAUGCCAAUCUCACUCAUAUGCCCUAGGCGCAUAUGCCAAUGUUUAGUAAUAUCAUCAUUUGACAAGGAAGAGGAUGUGACAGUUGCAUCACCAGUAACAGUAGAACCCUGCAAAACAUAUAACUUGGCAGUCUUUCUCUGCCCUUUCAUUACAAUGAGGGAACCUUUAGAAAUCUUCAAAACCCCACUUUCAGCUGUGUAUUUGUACCUUUUUGAAUCAAGAGUACUCAAUAAAAUUAAAUUUCUCUUCAAUUCUGGAACAUGUCGUACGUCGCUAAGUGUUCUGACAACUCUAUCAAACAUCUUAACUUUAAUUGUUCCAACACCUGUAAUUCUACAUGAAGCAUUAUUUCCCAUCAAAACAACACCUUCAGACACUGUUUCGUAAGUUGUAAACCAAUCCCGAUUGGGACUCAUGUGGAAGGUGCAGCCCGAAUCAAGAAUCCACUCCUCGCUCACUUUAAAAUUGUUGACAGAAGCGACUAGAAGUUCACCAUCGCUAUAGUCUUCUACAACAUCAGCCUUACCAAAAUUUUCUGGUUGCUUUCCAUUUUGAUUCACAGCUUCCCUUUUGAUCUUAUUCUGCAGUUUAUAGCACUCAGAUUUAGCGUGCCCAUUCUUGUUGACGCCAUUUUCUGGAUGAAAAAAGGGUCAACUUGGAUUUUGAAAAUGAAAACGGGAGUCGCCACCAAUCCUUUUUUGUGAGGUGUGAUUGGAUCACCUCCAAAAGUGGUUGUUUUUAAUAAACGGUUUGAUUUUAUUAAAACAACAAGUUUGGUCCACGAAAUUCAGAAAAAUGGGUUCGGGAGUCGGUUACGCACGAGGAAGGAUUAGCACCGUCGAUACGCCCAAAAUUGGUACCUAGUUGAUUAGUUAAUGUCUUAAUGUCGAAAAUUGAAAACUUUGAAGAAUUUUAAAAAUACGAUCCUUAUAUUAUAAUGUUGAAAAUUUUCGGGAAAAUGAGGCAUAUUUCACGUUAAUCGAGGAAAAGAAUCAUAUCCAGUAAGUUAGGACACAAUUUCUCGAAUUUUCGAUGCGCGAAUGAAUGCCGAAAAUUUAAAAGAUGUCUGACUAUCUCGAAUUUAAAAAAGGGAUCAAGUCCAGUAAGUUAGGACUCGAUCUUUUCUUAAUUUCCGAGAUCAUUUAAAACUUCGGUUAAAAAACUCUCGUAUUUAGAUUUAUCGUGAAAAUCGAAACCUAGUAAGUUAGGGUACGACUUUCUCGAGUCUAAACAUGAAAUUUUAUUUAUUCAAAAGUCAUAAUUUAUACAUUGAAUGAAAAAUAAUUUAACGCGUAAUAGUAGAAAUAAAACAUGAUGUUAAUGCUUGUAACAAAACAAUAAUGAAUUCGAUAAUGUAAUUAUGAAUAAUACGAGUAACAACAAAUAAAAGAUAAAUAAAUAAAAAACGAAUUAAACAUGCAAAAGAAUAAGCAAAUAAACUACUCGAAUGAAAGUGGGCAUAAAUAAAUAAAAGAAAAUAAACACCGCGCUAAAUAACGAAACCAUAAAAGAAAUAAAAAUAUAUAAAUACAUGUAUAUAUAUAUUUUAGAAUUAUGAAAAUAUAGAAAAUAUUUAAAAAUAUGUAUACGUAUAUCUAUGUGUAAUAAAAUACGUAGAAAUAGAUAUAGGUAUGUGUAAGUAUGAAAAAUGAAAUAUAAAAAUAUAUUUAUAAUAACUUUAAAAUGUAUGUGUAUAUGGAUUAGGAAAAUGUAUAUAUUUACACACAAUAAAAUAAAAUAAAAUAAAAUAUGUACAUAUAUAUUAUAAAAAGUAUGCGUUUGUAUAUGUAAAAUAUAUAACAAGAAUUUUAAAAUUAAAAGAGUAUAAACAUAAUAAUAAUAAUAAUAAUAAUAAUAAUAAUAAUUUGAAAACAUGAAAAGCUAGAAGUAAAUAAUAAAUAAUAAAAGAUACAGUAAGAUAAAUAUAUAUAUAUAAAAACUAAAAAACUAAAAAAGAAAUAUAUAAUAUAUAAUAUAAUAUAAUAUAUAAAAAGGUAAUGCAAAACUAUUUUAUAUAAUAAUGAUGAAUAAAUAAAUAAAUAUAAGGGAAAAUAAAAACUAAUAAUAAAUAACAAUAAUAAUAAUAACAUCUCAUUUAUUGAUUUAAUAAUAAAACAAACAAAAUAACACAAAAAAAGGCUAAAUUAGAUAUUAAAACAAAAUUCGGGGCCAAAUCUAUAAAUAAAUAAAAGAGGAAGGACAAAGUUGAACGCGCGAACAACAAGAAGGGAUCAAGAGAGCAAUUUUUCCUUCUUUCCCAAAACGCACAGCAUCAUAAGACCAAAUUGUAAAGAAAAAUAAACUAAUGUGCGAAUUUUAAAAAAAACAAAAGGGCCUUGAUUGUAAAAUUAUUUAAAAGCGGAAGGGCUGAAAACGCAAUUAGCCCUUCCGCUCAAAAACACGCGGAUCUUGGCUUGGAGCGGGUCGGGCGAAUUGGGUUAAAGCCAAAACGACGCCGUUUUGGCGUUUUAGAGGGCUGAGCAAAACGACGCCGUUUUGCUUCCCUAUUUAAACCAAUUUUUUUCCAGAAACUUUCAUUUUUCUUUCUUCUUCAAACAAAACUCCCUCAUUCUCUCUCAACCCCCUUUCUUCUCCCCCAAAAUCCGGCCAAGCUUCCGGCGAGCCACCGCCGUAGCCCACCGCGCCGGCCACCGUACACGGUGGCUGAAAAAAUAAAAAAAAAGGUAAUUUUUUUAUUUUGCUAAUAUAAACUGUUUUUAUAUGUAUAUAUAUGUUUGAAAAUAGGAAAUGAACGGAUAUAUAAAAAAAAGAAAAAAAGAAUCCGAAAUGAAAAAGGAGAGAUCACCUUUUAGUGUAUCUUUUUUUUUCUAUUGAUCUUUCUUCCCUUUUUUGUUACAAAAGUCCCUCAAAAAACCCCCGUUACAUUUUUUGAAUGGCCUUUAAAUAGCCAUUUUUUACAUCUUUUUAAUCUGUUCUUGCGCUCUUGUCACUUCUUUCUUUCUGUUUGCAGGCGCAAGUGGGUGAGCAAGUGGGCUGCGGCGUCAGAAGCAAGUGGCGACCAGGAGCAGGUGGUGGCAGUUGGGGUUGGUGGCUGUGGCGGCUGAAGCUAGGGUUAGGGGCUAGGGUUUCUUUUCUUUUGUUUUUUUUGUUAUUGUUUUCUGAUUUGGGCUGAAAAGUUUUUUUAUUGGGUUUAGGUUGGUUAUUUGUUAUUGGGCUAAUUGUUUUGGUUUAAUUGUUUUGGUUCCUUGGGCCCGGGUCAAAAAUUGGGCUUGUAUUGCUUGUUGGAGGGAUCCAAUCGCGAUAUGAUUAGUUGGCCCUAGGAAAAUGGUUAAAAGCUAUUCAUCAGGGUCGGAUGUACCAUAAAUAAAUGAUAUGAGCCCAUAAUAAAUAGGCUCGUCUCAGAGAAUUCCACGAGAAGGCUGGAUGUUGAAAAGAUUCUUCCUUAACGAAAGGAUUCUAAAGGGAAAUGAAUGCCAAACCAGGAAUGUCCCUAUGUUGUAAAGAAGAUCAUUUUCAGAGGAGCACUGAUCCUGAGUGAGAUUGCCAAUCCUAUAAACUCGGAUCCAGUUAAGAAACAUUUCGUUUAAAGAAAAAGGAAGGACCAAGGUGAAAACUUGCAAAGGGCACUUUGAGUCAAGAAAAAAAUGUAAAAAAAAAAAUGAAUGAAAAUGAAAAAAAAUUGAAAAAUGAAAAAAUGAAAAGUAAAAAUGGAGAGGCUAAGGGGAAAACCCGCAAAGGGCAUCUUAGGCCAAAGGGGAUUUGAGUUGAAAACCCGAAGGAGGGAUCAAAUAUUGAUCAGAAUGGGGCAUGAAGUGAUCAGAUUGGGGCAUGCGGUGAUCUUGCUAUACCUGAAAGGGUAAGGCGACAUCUUGGGGCAUCGACGGAGUCCUGUAGAUCUUCUAAACACCUGUCAAACUCAGGAAGGUCUUCAGAAAGUUUGUACAGAGAAGUUCAAGUUGCGAUAUCUAGGGCACCUGCCAUUCGUAUUAUUUGAAGUUGUUAUUCUUGGAAUACUUCUUUCUUUUUCAAGAUACAUGUUCCAAUCAAUUCCUUUUUUUGCUAUCCUUGAUAAUUUAUUCAUUUCGAGCUAUGCUCUCAAAUCAAUUCUAUUUUAUCCAUCGUUAUAUUCUUCUUGCAAGCAUGUUGCAUUGGAAUGAUGAUACUUUCACAAUGGAAGUUUUACAUAUUACUCUAGAAGUUUCUAAAUAAUAUAGGAACCUGAAACAGGACUAUUGUUUAGAAAACACCAAGUUUAAAGGGUGAAAUAUCUAAGAAGGAAAAGUCUAAGUUAAGGCUAUCCCUUCGGAUUUUGUUGUCCAAACAUUGACUGAACAAAAUGACAAGAUGCCGUGUUGGUGACAAAGCUUCAAUGAACAAACAAGCAAUGAUCACUGAGUGAUAAGAAAAGGUUUUCUCAGAGAAGAAAAUUUUGCAAUUGUGCAUGAGCAUUUGGUAUGACACCUGGGGAAUGGGGUAAAAAAAACCAAAAAGCUUCACAUUCUGUAUCCUUGAAUUACGAUAGAAGAAGAUUGAGAAAAGCCAUAUCUUUCUACCCUUGGGUUACAGUGGGAGAAUGAUGGUACAUUUUUACGUCCCAAUGGAUUGAACUUUGACGUUCACAGUGGGGGGCAAUCAGAUUAAGUGUUUCUUUGGAUAUGCCAGACGAGCAAGAAGGCGUUGUAGUACGUCAGUGAUAAAACCUUAAUAAGCUUUUGCGUGAUGAUAACCUAAGCAUUAAGGAACCAUUUUCAUGACAUUUUGCAUUCAUUCAAAUGUCAUUCAUACACAUCUAGUUAGGAGCAUUUGAUUUGUUCUGAUCAUGUCAUCCUAAUCACUAGGCACAAUUAGGUUCAUAAAAUAGAACAUACAGGUCAGGUUCCCCAAAGAACAGAUCAACGAAGAUAGCAGAUCUUGUCUUCCUGUAUUUGGCAGCGGAGGAAAUCGAAGAUAGUAGAUCUUGUCUUCCUGUAUUUGGCAACGAAGGAGAUCGAAGAUAGCAGAUCUUAUCUUCCUGUAUUCGGCAGCGGAGGAGAUCAAAGAUAUAGCAGAUCUUGUCUUCCUGUAUUAGGCAGCGGAGUAGAUCGAAGAAAGCAGAUCUUGUCUUCCUGUAUUAGGCAGUGGAGUAGAUCAAAGAAAGCAGAUCUUUUCUUCCUGUAUUAGGCAGUGGAGUAGAUCAAAGAAAGCAGAUCUUGUCUUCCUGUAUUAGGCAGCAGAGUAGAUCGAAGAAAGCAGAUCUUGUCUUCCUAUAUUAGGCAGCGAAGUAGAUCGAAGAAAGCAGAUCUUGUCUUCUUGUAUUAGGCAGCGGAGUAGAUCGAAGAAAGCAGAUCUUGUCUUCCUGUAUUAGGUAGCGGAGUAGAUCGAAGAAAGCAGAUCUUGUCUUCCUGUAUUAGGCAUCAGAGUAGAUCGAAGGAAGCAGAUCUUGUCUUCUUGUAUUAGGCAGUGGAGUAGAUCGAAGAUAUAACAGAUCUUGUCUUCCUGUAUUAGAGCGGAGUAGAUCGAAGAAAGCAGAUCUUGUCUUCCUAUAUUAGGCAGCGGAGUAGAUCGAAGAAAGUAGAUCUUGUCUUCCUGUAUUAGGUAGUGAAGUAGAUCGAAGAUAGUAGAUCUUGCCUUCCUGCCUUGACAGCGAAGCAGAUCGAAGACACAAACCUUGCCUCUCUCGGUUGUAGUGGAGCUGGUUGAAGACAACAGAUCUUGCCUUCCUGCAUUGACAGCGAAGCAGAUCGAAGACACAAACCUUGCCUCUCUCGGUUGUAGUGGAGCUGGUUGAAGACAACAGAUCUUGCCUUCAUGCAUUGACAGCGAAGCAGAUCAAAGACACAAACCUUGCCUCUCUCGGUAGUAACGGAGCUAGUUGAAGAUAACAAAUCUUGCCUUCCUGCAUUGACAGCGAAGCAUAUCGAAGACACAAACCUUAUCUCCCUAACGUUGUAGUGGAGCAGACUAAAACCACAAAUCUCGUCCCCCUAAAGUUAUAACAGAGUGGAUUGAAGCUACAAGUCUUGUCUUUUUGAAGUUGCAGCGGAAUGGAUCGAAGCAACAAGACAUACUGGACUGGAAUGAAACUACUUGGAAAGAGAGGUGUUAGAGAAGUCAAGACUCAGUGAGACCGGGCAAAAAUUGGUCUUUCUUAGUCUUUGCUCUGUUAUCGUUACAUGACAACAAGCAAAGAGGGGCAGCUGUACAAGCCCAAUUUUUGACCCGGGCCCAAGGAACCAAAACAAUUAAACCAAAACAAUUAGCCCAAUAACAAAUAACAACCCAAACCCAAUAAAAAACUUUUCAACCCAAAUCAGAAAACAAUAACAAAAAAAAAAACAAAAGAAAAGAAACCCUAGCCCCUAACCCUAGCUUCAGCUGCCGCAGCCACCAACCCCAACUGCCACCACCUGCUCCUAGCCGCCACUUGCUUCUGACGCCACAGCCCACUUGCUCACCCGUUUGCGCCUGCAAACAGAAAGAAAGAAGUGACAAGAGCGCAAGAACAGAUUAAAAAGAUGUAAAAAAUGGCUAUUUAAAGGCCAUUCAAAAAAUGUAACGGGGGUUUUUUGAGGGACUUUUGUAACAAAAAAGGGAAGAAAGAUCAAUAGAAAAAAAAGAGACACUAAAAGGUGAUCUCUCCUUUUUCAUUUCGGAUUCUUUUUUUUCUUUUUUUUAUAUAUCCGUUCAUUUCCUAUUUUCAAACAUAUAUAUAUACAUAUAAAAAUAGUUUAUAUUAGCAAAAUAAAAAAAUUACCUUUUUUUUAUUUUUCCGGCCACCGUACACUGUGGCCGGCGCGGUGGCGCUACGGCGGUGGCUCGCCGGAAGCUUGGCCAGAUUUUGAGGGAGAAGAAAGGGGGUUGAGAGAGAAUGAGGGAGUUUUUUUGAAGAAGAAAGAAAAAUGAAAGUUUCUGGAAAAAAGUUUGUUUAAAUAGGGAAGCAAAACGGCGUCGUUUUGCUCAGCCCUCUAAAACGCCAAAACGGCGUCAUUUUGGCUUUGACCCGAUCCACCCGACCCGCUCCAGGCCAAGAUCCGCGUAUUUUUGAGCGGAAGGGCUAAUUGCGUUUUCAGCCUUUCCGCUUUUAAAUAAUUUUACAAUCAAGGCCCUUUUGUUUUUUUUAAAUUCGCACAUUAGUUUAUUUUUCUUUACAAUUUGGUCCUAUGAUGCUGUGCGUUUUGGGAAAGAAGGAAAAAUUGCUCUCUUGAUCCCUUCUUGUUGUUCGCGCGUUCAACUUUGUCCUUCCUCUUUUAUUUAUUUAUAGAUUUGGCCCCGAAUUUUGCUUUAAUAUCUAGUUUAGCCUUUUUUUGUGUUAUUUUGUUUGUUUUAUUAUUAAAUCAAUAAAUGAGAUGUUAUUAUUAUUAUUGUUAUUUAUUAUUAGUUUUUAUUUUCCCUUAUAUUUAUUUAUUUAUUCAUCAUUAUUAUAUAAAUUAGUUUUGCAUUACCUUUUUAUAUAUUAUAUUAUAUUAUAUAUUAUAUAUUUCUUUUUUAGUUUUUUAGUUUUUAUAUAUAUAUUUUUAUCUUACUGUAUCUUUUAUUAUUUAUUAUUUACUUCUAGCUUUUCAUGAUUUCAAAUUAUUAUUAUUAUUAUUAUUAUUAUUAUUAUUAUUAUUAUUAUUAUGUUUAUACUCUUUUAAUUUUAAAAUUCUUGUUAUAUAUUUUACAUAUACAAACGCAUACUUUUUAUAAUAUAUAUGUACAUAUUUUAUUUUAUUUUAUUUUAUUGUGUGUAAAUAUAUACAUUUUCCUAAUCCAUAUACACAUACAUUUUAAAGUUAUUAUAAAUAUAUUUUUAUAUUUCAUUUUUCAUACUUACACAUACCUAUAUCUAUUUCUACGUAUUUUAUUACACAUAGAUAUACGUAUACAUAUUUUUAAAUAUUUUCUAUAUUUUCAUAAUUCUAAAAUAUAUAUAAACAUGUAUUUAUAUAUUUUUAUUUCUUUUAUGGUUUCGUUAUUUAGCGCGGUGUUUAUUUUCUUUUAUUUAUUUAUGCCCACUUUCAUUCGAGUAGUUUAUUUGCUUAUUCUUUUGCAUGUUUAAUUCGUUUUUUAUUUAUUUAUCUUUUAUUUGUUGUUACUCGUAUUAUUCAUACUUACAUUAUCGAAUUCAUUAUUGUUUUGUUACAAGCAUUAACAUCAUGUUUUAUUUCUACUAUUAGGCGUUAAAUUAUUUUUCAUUCAAUGUAUAAAUUAUGACUUUUGAAUAAAUAAAAUUUCAUGUUUAGACUCGAGAAAGUCGUACCCUAACUUACUGGGUUUCGAUUUUCACGAUAAAUCUAAAUACGCGAGUUUUUUAACCGAAUUUUUAAAUGAUCUUGGAAAUUAAGAAAAGAUCGAGUCCAAACUUACUGGACUUGAUCCCUUUUUUAAAUUCGAGAUAGUCAGACAUCUUUUAAAUUUUCGGCAUUCAUUCGCGCAUCGAAAAUUCGAGAAAUUGUGUCCUAACUUACUGGAUAUGAUUCUUUUCCUCGAUUAACGUGAAAUAUGCCUCAUUUUCCCAAAAAUUUUCAACAUUAUAAUAUAAGGAUCGUAUUUUUAAAAUUCUUCAAAGUUUUCAAUUUUCGACAUUAAGACAUUAACUAAUCAACUAGGUACCAAUUUUGGGCGUAUCGAGGGUGCUAAUCCUUCCUCGUGCGUAACCGACUCCCGAACCCGUUUUUCUGAAUUUCGUGGACCGAACUUGUUGUUUUAAUAAAAUCAAACCGUUUAUUCAAAACAACCACUUUUCGAGGUGAUCCAAUCACACCUCACAAAAAAGGAUUGGUGGCGACUCCCGUUUUCAUUUUCAAAAUCCAAGUUGACCCUUUUUUCAUCCAAAAAAUGGUGUCAACAAUUCUUCUUGCAGAAGUUACAAGUUUUACCUCUGUUUGAAGACUUCGAUCUACCUUUAGAUUUACAGCGAGGAUUCCGUUCCUGUGUCCUUCCACGAUCAUCAUCAAAAUUCCGAUCUUGUCUCCCACGAACAAUGAGACCCUUUCCUUGAGAGUCAAUUUUAACCACAAGAUACUUCAUCUUAUCAUACGAGGUUAAAGAAUCAUAAACCUCAUCAACUGUGAGAGACUCGCGGCUAUAUAAAAUUGUAUCUCUAAAGGUUGAAUAAGACGGGGGCAACGAACAAAGUAGAAUCAACCCUAGAUCUUCCUUAUCAUACUCAACCUCCAUGGCCUCUAAAUUUGAGAGAAUUUUUUUAAACAUUGUCAAGUGUUCGUGCACAGACGCACCUUCCUCUAAACGAUGAUCAUAAAGACGCUGCUUCAUAUGCAGUUUACUAGUUAGAGUUUUCGACAUACAUAUUUGUUCCAACCUUUUCCAUAAUCCAGCGGCGGUCUUCUCCUUCAUCACAUCCUGCAAAAUUUCGUUAGACAAAUGCAGAUGUAACUGUGUUAACGCCUUUCGAUCCUUGCGCUUCUUCUCUUCCUCCGUCAAUGUUGAAGGCACCUUAUCUACCCCUAGUAGGGCUUCCUCUAAGUCUAUCUAUGCAAGAACUACUUGCAUCUUUAUUUGCCGCAAUGCGAAUCUGGUGUUGCGAUCCAACAGCGAAAUUUCAUACUUCAAAGACGUCAUUAUCGUGAUUGAGAUGAAUAACCCGAAAGCUCUGAUACCAAUUUGUGAAAAAUAUAAUGUCGGUAAUGACAAUAUAUCGCAAAGAAAAAUAAAAAAUAAAAAUAAAAAUAAAAAACACACAGAUUUUACGUGGAAACCCUUUUGGGAAAAAAAACCACGGGCAAAGGAGAAGAAAAUUCACUAUGUCGAAUUCGAAUUAAUUACAAGAGGAGUAGACUAUACCUAUUUAUAGGCUUGUAAAACCAUAAUCUAAUAGGAGUAAAACACCUUAUUCUAAUCAAUAUCAAAUAGAUAGAGUUUAAUAAGGUUUAAAAAACCUUAUUCUAAAAUAAAAUAAAAGAAGUAUAAUUCUAUAGGGAUUUUACUUUUAUUUUAUUUUACCACAGUAUUUUAUUUAAAUAAUGAUUUGGGUCACUUAAUUCUAACAAUCUCCACCUAUUUAAUGUAAAUUAAAAAUGUUCAAACUAAUUGUUUUAUGUAAGAUAUGAAUGACAGUCUUCUAUAGAACUUCCUAAAUAUAGUCAGUUUUAAAAUUCAAAACUAAUCAUUUUUAAAAGCUUAUUUUUAUGGAGAUAUUUGGCUUGGAUGAUGAGAGAAAUCAAGAGAAUUAAGGUUGAAGAUCAAAAAGUGGAAGAAAAGCAUGAAGAUGGAGAAGACUAACGUGAAACUUAUAGGUGGGGAUGAUUUUAGGUUGAUUUUUAAAAUUUGUUUUAAUUGCCUCUUAAAAACUCACAAUUUUAAUUUUUUUACAAAUCAAUACUACCUUCAAAAUUAAAGGUAUUUAAAACUCAUUUUCAGAAAUUGAUUUAAUUUUAAUCAUAGUAAAAAAUAUUAUCGAUAAACCAUUUCGUAAAAUUUCGAACACUCUAAGGCUAAAAUUCCUAAAUUACCUCUAAAACUCCUAGGUCCUAUUUUGGGAUGUUACAAUAAAUUGGUGUAAAUACACAUUUGGUCCCUAUCGAUUUUAAAAUUGAGCAAAUAGAUCUUUCUCUCAAAAAAAAUUACAAAAAAAUUUCAAAAUAUUUAUAAAAAUUUAAGAAUUUAAAUAUUUUAAAAAUAUAUAUUAAAAACUCAAAAGAAUAUAUAUAAAAAUUAGAAAACUCUAAAAUUAUCAUUUUUGGGACCUAAAUAAGUUAAUUAAUAAUUCAAUUUUAUAAUACUAUUUUUACUCUUUUUUUUAAUGAAUUAAAAAAAAUAAAUGAUUUCAAAGUUAUGUGUUUUAAUAUAGAAUUAGUUAAAUUGUAAAAAUAUUUUAAUUUUUUCACUCGAUCCGAUCGAACGCUCACUCCUAGUGGUCGAUGUUCAUCCGCAUAUAUCUUUUGUCUCUAACCAGAAAAGAUCUCUUCCAAAAUGAAACUCUUAAAUUGGAGCGUGUCAUAUUUACUACAGGCCGUUUAUGAUAGAAUCGGACCAUUUAACUUUGAAAUCACUCACGUAAUGCAUGUUAUUCGGAAGGUUAUCGAUAAAUAUCGUUGCAACACCUUGAAGUUCGCCACUCCAUUUUUCUAUUGUGCGCUCUCCUUUGAUUAUAACAAUCCAGAACCUUCCUUACUCUAACUUAUAAAAUUAAAAAGACUCUGUAGGACAAAAUAAGACUUUAUUUAUUUAUUUAUUAUUACACUAGAAUUUCACACAUAGCAAACGCACACUAUAUAGGAGAUGCAUAAGAAAACAGCGGUAGGUAGAUAUAAGUCAACAGGCUGUCAAAUUUAUUCUAGUAGUAGUGCAAAACAUAAGCACAUUACUGACAGCCUGAGCACCAGCAUUUUGAUCAGAAAUUUAAGCAAAGCCACCCAAGAAAAGUGUGUUUGUAUUCUCAUCACUGCAAUAAAGGCAAGGGUUCUGCUCGAAUCCAUUGUUCUUCAAAAUCUUGGCAGCCUCAGCCACGAGGUGUCUGUUGCUUAUUCCAACACCCAAGUUCUGAUUGAUUACGUUAACCACAGCAUCGGUGAACGCCCCAAAGGCUUUAUUUUCCAAGACCAGGUCAUAUGAUGUCUCAUUGGCUUCACAUCCACUUAAUAAAAUCCCUUCAUCCUCCUCCAGUGGAUCCAACACCAUUAACCCCUCUACGUAGUGAGGAUGGAAUUUGAGACUCACAUCUUUCCCGAAGAUUCCGAAAAUCUUUUGGCCAACAUUUGCUGCGUCGUGUAGGAUGCCUGCUGCUGUAUCUAUCGCACUAUGUAUGAUAUCAAAAGUAAGACUCUUAGCCUUAGCCUUAGACGGUUUAGGCUUGUCGGUAUUUACUGUUGUCGUCAUAUGCUGACCACCAAAUUGUUCUUUCUCUUUUUCAAUGAGACCCCCACUGUGGCACGAAUCUGAUAGGAUUGUGAAGCUUGCUCCUUCUGGUAGCCGAUUAACUAAACGUCUGAAGUCCACAUCUGCAGAAACCAAGUAUAUAUAGGGUAUGAAUAUAUGUUGCUAAAAUAAAUAUAUAAAUUCAAACAAAAACCUACCGGUGACAAGAUUUAAAUCACAAGCCACGAUUGCUUCAUCUUGCUUGAAAGGCUGGCCAGGUUGAAAGAUUGGAACGCGUGUUCCAUGUCCACUGAAGUAGAAAAAUAGAAUAUCUCCUGCUUUAGCCUUGUUCACCAUUCUAUUGAGUGCAUCCUUAAUGUUUACACCCGUAGGCAGAACCGGCGACCCUGGCGCAUCGGUGAGGACAUUAACAUCGCUUUCCUUAAACCCAAUGUCCAGGAUCACACCUCUUAUGGCUUUCACAUCAUUGAUGCAUCCAUGCAAGCUGAAUUGGGUCUUGGGGUAGUUGCAUCCCACCAGAACUGCUCUCUUCGUACCCUUACUCAUCUUGCUCGCUAAUUUGACUAUUUUGUGUUGCUUGUACUGUUGGAAUAAUGUGCUUCCACUGCCUCACUAAGAACAUAUAUAUAUAUACACACUAAUUUACAGCAUGUGUACUGACCAUAAAGAUGACGACAUGUAGGUAGGUAGAUAGGUAGGUAGGCUGUAAUAGAAACUCUCACAUGAAACGAAUGAAUGAAUGAAUUAUUAUUCAUGAAAAAGAUGAUCAGCUGAACCAUCAGCUUCCUGUAUUUAAAGAGUUUUACAAGUCUAACUAACACUUGUAAAUGCUAACUGCUAAAUGCUAAUUGCUAACAACAACCUGCACUGCUAUUUACUAUUUUAACUACUAUUUUACAACUGAAUAGGCAGGUACUGUAGAAGUUUGAUUAAUAUUUGGAGAAAUAAAACAAAGAAAGUGAUAAAAAAUAUAAUGGAGAAGAGAAAUAAAUUUUGUAUGGAAGAGAAAAAAAAUUCUUUCUAAUAAACUUUUUAUUUCACUCACACUAUAUAUUCUUCAUCACAUACAACUCUUUAUAUAGGAGUUGUAAGUGACUAUUCAUCUAUAUCACUAAAUCACUAAAUGCUAGGAGUUGUGACUAUUCAUUUACAUAACUUAAAUACUAUAGGAGUUGUGACUAUUCAUGCAUGUGUGUAACUUUUCAUCUUCAAGUCUCUUCGCAUUUUUAACUCUUCAUAUUCAAGUCUUUUCGCAUUCAUAACUUUUCAUAAUUUAAUUUAUGCAAGAUUAAUUUAAUUAUGUGCCAACAAUGCCUCCCUUAAAUUAAACUUGCUUCGAACUCCCAACCUUUCAACAUUUUUCUUGAAGACUUGUCCACUAAGCGGCUUUGUGAAGAUAUCAGCCAUCUGAUAUUCUAUCUUUCAAUAUUCAACUUGAACAUCACCAUUAUUCACUAGUUCCCUCAAGAAGUGAUACUGAAUGCGAAUGUAUUUUGUUCUUCUAUGAAGAACUGGAUCUUUUGUGACUGAAAUAGUAGAACUAUUGUCACAAAACAAAAUCGUUGACUUGCUCUGCUUCUGCUUAAGACUCUCCAAAAUUCCACGUAACCAAAUCAAUUGACAUCCUACAUAAGAUGCAGCGAUAUAUUCAGCUUCUGUAGUCGAAAGCGCCACAACUGAUUGUUUCUUUGAGCUCCAUGAAACUGCACCACUACCAAGGUGGAAAACAUAACCAGAAGUGCUUCUACUAUCAUCAAUGUUAUCCGUAAAACCAAUGAAAUCAACUAAUGUCUUGGCUUUAUAGAAAAUUCCAUAAUCAAUACUUCCCUUCACAUAUCUCAAUAUUCUCUUGGCAGCCUCCCAGUGAUUGGAGUAAGGUUUCUCCACGAAUCUACUCACCAAGCUAACAGCAUACACGAUGUCAGGCCUUGUCGAAGUCAGAUACAUCAACUUUCCAACCAAACUUCUGAAUAUGGUGGAAUUGACAAGCUUUCCUUCAUCCUCUUUAGAUAACUUCAGACCUGUAAUGCAUGGAGUAGAGACUGGAUUCGCAUUGUCCAUCUUGAAUCUUUUUAGAACUUCCUUUGCAUAGCUCUCUUGUGAAAUAAAAAUUCAUUUCUCGGAUUGAUGAACUUCAAUGCCAAGAAAAUGAUGAAGUUCUCCCAAAUCUGUCAUAUGCCAUCAUUGAGUGCUGAAAUUCUUUCAACAUCUUCACAUCAUUUCCUGUGAAAAUAAGAUCAUCAACGUAGAGACUUACAACCAUGAAUCUUCCUUGAGAAUUGCCUUUGAUGUAGAGAGUAUGCUCAUAUGGACAUUUCUGGAAUCCACACUUCUAAAAAUAAGAAUCGAUGAGGCUGUACCAAGCUCGGGGUGAUUGCUUCAACCCGUGCAAAGCUUUCUUCAACUUGUAAACAUUUUCUUCUUCUCCUUUUUUGACAAACCCUGGUGGUUGAUCAACAUAGACUUCUUCUUUGAGAACACCAUUUAAAAACGCAGAUUUUAUGUCCAUUUGGAACAUUUUCCAAUUGUUUUAGGCAGCAAGAGAAAUAAGUAACCGAAAUAUUUCAAGUCUUGAAACUGGAGCAAAUACCUCUGUAAAAUCUUCUCCUUCCUUUUGCUUGUAUCCUUUUGCAACCAGUAUUGCCUUGUACUUGUUGAUAGAUCCAUUUGGAUUCAUCUUUGUCUUGUACACCCAUUUGACUCCAAUUGAAUUCUUGUGUGGUGACAAAUCUGUAAGGUCCCAUGUAUCAUUAUUUUCAAUUGAGAAAAUCUCUUCUGUCAUGGCUUUCCUCCAUAUUUCUUCUUGAUAUGCAUCAUCAAAAGAAAUUGGAUCUUCUCCUACAAAAAACGACAAAUAAUACAACAUCAUUUUGCACAACUUCAUCAGUUACAUUAUAUAACUCUUGGAUGCUUCUCGUUUUUCGAAUCGGGCUGGAUGAAGAAGAAUUUGAUGAAGAACAUGAGGAAGUAGGAGGAUUUUCUGCUUCAGCAUAAUCUUCAGCAUUCUCAAUUACUGCCUCUUCUUCUUCUUCAAGUUCAAAAGGAAAAAUUGGCAAAUUUUUUUUUCAACUUCCAUAUAUUCAAACAUAGAAUUUUCAUCAAACCGAACAUCUCGGCUUAUCACAAUCUUUUUUGUCACCGGAUUGUACAACUUGUAUGCCAUACUUCUUUCACUAUAGCCAAUGAAAAUGCAUUUCUCUGACUUGUUAUCCAACUUGCUUCUCAUUGCAUCUGGAAUAUGAGAGUAAGCAACACUCCCAAAUACUCUAAGAUGACGAACACUAGGCUUUGUACCAUACCACGCCUCAUGUGGUGUGCAAUUCUCCAAGCUUCUUGUUGGUGAUCUAUUGAUAAGAUAAACUGCACAAGAAACAACUUCAACCCAAAAUCUUCUUGAUAACCUCUUCUUCUUAAGAAGACAUCUAGCCAUUUCCAUAAUUGUUCUAUUCUUUCUUUCACACACACCAUUUUGCUGAGGUGUAUGGCGGACUGUCAUUUCAUGCCGGAUGCCACUAUCUCGACAGUAUUUCUCAAAUUCUUUUGAAAAAUAUUCACUUCCAUGAUCUGUCCGCAAGGUGUUAAUUUUCAACCCAGUAAUUAAAUUUCAUCCCAGUAAAGCUUUCCACUUCUGCCUUGAAAUCUUUGAAUCUCUGAAAAGCCUCUGAUUUUUCUUUGACACAAUAUACCCAUAACUUUCUUGAUUAAUCAUCAAUGAAAGAGAUAAAGUAACGAUUACCUCCCAAAGAUGAAACUGUCAUAGGACCAAAAAGAUCCGAGUGAAUAAGUUGCAAUGGUCUUCUUGCUUUCCACGAGGAUUGAGAAGGAAAAGCAAUUUAGUGUUGAUUUCCAAGUUGACAUGCUUCACAAAUGUAACAGCCUGAAUUUGGGUCUAGUCGGAAUAGUGGUUUCGGGACCACAAAUGUAAUAUUUUAAAAAUUUCUACAGUAAGAUAUUAUCCUUGGUACAGUAAAAUAAGGAAAUGAAGUGAUAAAAUAAUAAAAAAAUAAAAAGGGAGAAUUUUGAGUUAUGGCAACAUUGGGAAAUAUAUUAUAACAUGAUAAUUCAAGAAAGGAUUAAAUUGCAAAAGUGCGAAAAGUUUUGUUGCCCAAGAGUAAAUACUUAAAAUUUGAGGGGUUAAAGUGUAAAUACAAAAAAGUUGAAGGACCAAAGGUGUAAGUAUUUUAAGGGUGGAAUGAUCUAGAAACUAAGAAAAAUGGAUGGAUUAGGAUCAAAUUAAAAAAUGUGAAGAAUUUUGAGGGACUAAAUACAAUUUUACCAAAUUGAGUGAUGACUCAAGAAUGGAAUUUUAAAAGAUCAUAAAGAGCAAAAUGGUCAAUUAAUAAGAGAGAGAAAUCUAGAAGAUAAUGAUGAUGUUGGAGAUAUUUUAGAUUAAUUAAAUAAAUAUUAGUUUAUUAAUAUUUUAAUUUAAUUUUUAAAUGUUAUUUUAUUAUUUUAUUAUUAUUUUAUUUAGUAUAUAUAUAUAUAUAUAAUAAAAGGAAGAUGAAGAAUCAUCAUCUUCCCCCAUGCAUUCCAACGUAUGAAGAGAAAAGAAAGAAAGAAACUUUCUUUUCUUUACAAUUUGGUCCUCUAACCAAAAAUCCUCCAUUUUCACUUUGAAAUCAAACAAAUUUCCAUAACCACCAAGAAAGAAAAUUCAUAAAGAGAAUAUGGGGAGCUAGAAUAUCAAGUUAGAUUCAAGAAAUAGAAGCUGGAGGAGAGAGAAAAUCAAGUUAAAGAUUGAAAUCAAUAGCACAAGGUAAGAACAUCAAGAUGUCAAUUUAUUUUUAAGUUUAAUAUUAUUGAAAAAAGCAUGGAAAUAAUGUUAUAGUAGAGUUUUCUUAUAUAUGGUCUUAUGUUCUUGAUAUAUUAGUGAAGAAAAAUAAGUGAAAGUGAUGGGAAAUAUUAUAGAGAAAUGGAGUUAUACACCUAGUAAUCAACAUUUUGAACUAAAAUAGUUUUGGACAGCAACAGUAGGUUAACUUUGAAAAAUCACCAUAAAUUGUGGAAAUCGAAUUAGAAUAUGAACAAGAUGUGUAAUUAAAUAUUAAUGAGUCUACUUUCAUAUAAAAGAAACAUAGAAAGCAAAAGAAUUGUGUAUUUUGAGAUAUUUAAAUUUUAGUGAGAAAGGGUCGGAAUGAUUUUGGAAUCCCCUGUUCUGACUUUGGAAAAUCAUCAAAACUUUGAGAAAAAUAAUUAGAGGCUUAAAUUUAUAUUUUUAAAUCCUUAAUGAGUAUAUUUUCAAUAAAAACAAACGGUAACAUCAUUUGAAUUCUGUAUGAGGAGAUAAUUAAGUUUUAGUGAAGAAGGGUCGGAACUGUCAGACAGCAGAACAGAGAUGAAUUUAGAGAAUAAACUGUACAUAUUGGCUAAACCAAAAAUUCUAAAAAUUUUAUGGUAAGAGGAUAUGUGAGUCUAGUUUCAGAUAAAAUUAACUGAUCUCAAUUUGGAGUUCUUUAGCUCAAGAUAUAAAUAAUUUAGUGACUAUGACUCAAGUGGACAGCUUUAAAAGAAUAUAAAUAAAUAUGAAAUUAUAGAUAAUGUUACAUAUAAGUAUGUUAUAUAUAUAUUAAGGAUGCGGAAUGGAGAGGAGGAGGAGGAAAAUAUGUGAUUAUUCAACUAGCAUGAGUUUUUAUUAAAAAUGAUCAAUUUAUAUGUUUCAGGGACUAAAUUGAACAAAUAUGAAAAUUUAAGAGUAAAUUUGUAAAAAUGUCAAAAAGUGACCAAAUUGCAUGAAAUGAAUUGUUUUAUCAUUUAAAUUAGUAAAUUGAAUGAAAUAUUAAUUUAGAUCAAGAUUGGGUGGAAAUUCGAGAAAAAUAGAAAAUUUCCAAAAUGUCCCUAUAUUUUGGUAUUUCUGCAAUUUAGCCUGGUAAGUUCGUAUGAACUAUAUUUUGUUUAAUUUCAAUUGAAGUGAAUGCUAUUCGGUAAUGAAUAUUAUACAUAUAUGUGUGUUUUAUAUUGGAACUGAAUUAUUAUUGGUAAUAUACAUAAUUAUUAGAUGCUUUGAAAUGAUUAUCGGAAGCUUGUUGGAGAUAUAUCACAUUACCUAUUGGUUUUAUCGGUAGUUUUGGAUGACUUGAUUCUGGUUAUAAAUGUAUAAGUUAAAUUGGUUAACGUUAGCUCAUAAAUGUUUUGAUUUUGAUCGGUUAUAAAUAUGAAUGUUAGAUAAAAAUGAAAUGCUUGAAAAUUAAUGAGUAAACUCCGGUAAUACCUCGUACCCUAUUUCGGUGUCGAAUACGGGUAAGGGGUGUUACAACAAUCAUCAUCAAGCCGAUCGAUUUUUGGUAAACCUUUGACCAUCAUCUUUCUUGAAAGCAUCUCGAAAUUUUCAUAGUUCAGAUGUCCAUAUCUAUCAUGCCAUAACUUUGAAACUCCUUUAUGAGCACCAAUAAAGCAAGACAUAUUCUGAUUUUGAAGGGUGAGAGAGAAAAAAUUAUUUGAUGCCACUACAACUCUAGCAACAACUUGAUUUUUCCUUGACAAAUAGCAAGCCAUGUCACGGAAAUAAAUAUCAUAUCCCUUCUUCAAAAGAUGCCCAACGCUAAGCAGGUUAUUUUUAAGACCAGGAACAAAAUAAACUUCAGACAUUUUCUCUACCCUUCAUUGCUUUGGUUUGAACUCCAACUCACCAACACCGCUAACUUUGUAAGCUUUGCCAUCUCCUACUUUUACUUCUCCACAAUUAGAUUCAAAGAACUUCGAAAAUAAAUUUUUGUUACUUGUCAUAUGCUUGCUAGCACCACUGUCUAUGUACCAGACAUCACCAAUCUCUCCACUAUGAGACACGAGCAACAAAGUUUCUUGCUUUUGUUCUUGAUUAUUUUGUACUGUAUUAGCUUUAUUUUUCUCUUCUUUCUUGUACCAGCAUUCACUUGCCAAAUGACGAGGUUUGCGACAAUGAUAACAUUCAAAAUAGCCACGACCUCUUCCUCUUUAAUUUCCACGUCCACGUCCUCUUUGUGAUCCUCUAAAAUUCUGACUUUGGUUGGCUUAUUUCCAUCCAUUUUCCAUGCUUGCAUCUUCACCUCUUUCACGAGCAUUUGAGCCUCUUCCCCUAAAAAUUAUUCCUCUUCCACGAGCACGAUCUCUCCCUCUUUGAUUUUUAAAAUCUCCCUUCUUCUCAUUUAGAGACAACUUUGACUGGAGUGCUUGAUCUAGAUCUACUUUCUUCUUGUUGUUGUUUAAUCUUUCUUCAUGGGCUUGCAACGAACCUGUGAGUUCAUCAAUAGUCAUUGUACUCAAAUCCUUUGAUUCUUCAAUGGCUACUACAAUGUGGUCAAAUCUGGAAUCUAAAGAACGGAGGAUUUUCUCAACACCACGAAUAUCAUCCAUAGUUUCACCAUUUCUUUUUAAUUGGUUGACUAUGGACAAAACCCGUGAACAGUAAUCAGAAAUUGAUUCCGACUCUAUUUUUUGCAAUCUUUCAAACUCCCCUCGAAGAGUUUGCAACUGAACUCUUUUCACCUUUUCAUCUCAUUUGAAUGAAUUUUGUAAAAACUCCCAUGCUUGUUUUGCCGUAGUGGCACAAGCAAUUUUUUCCCAAGCCGCUUCAUAUGAUUGAACUCCUUGAUAUAUCCAAAAUAAGGCUUGCUGAUUUUUUUUCUUUGAUUUUCUUAGACUCUCUUUUUGAACUUGUAUUAAUCAUUCUUCCUCUUCAGCCUCAACUUCAUUAUAACAUUUUUCAACAAUCUCCCAAACUUCUAGAGAUCCAAGAAGAGCCUUCAUUUGGAUACUCCAUUUGCCAUAAUUUUCUGUGGUUAAUUGGGGAACAGAAGAAAGAGGAAUAAAAUUAUUCAUUUCAAUGAACAAGGCUCUGAUACCAAUUUGUAGAAGUUUGAUUAAUAUUUGGAGAAAUAAAACAAAGAAAGUGAUAAAGAAUAUAAUGGAGAAGAGAAACAAAUUUUGUAUGGAAGAGAAGAAAAAUUUUUUCUAAUAAACUUUUUAUUUCACUCACACUAUGUAUUCUUCAUCACAUAUAACUCUUUAUAUAGGAGUUGUAAGUGACUAUUCAUCUAUAUCACUAAAUGCUAAGAGUUGUAACUAUUCAUUUACAUAACUUAAAUACUAUAGAAGUUAUGACUAUUCAUGCAUGUGUGUAACUUUUCAUCUUCAAGUCUCUUCGCAUUAUUAACUCUUCAUAUUCAAGUCUUUUCACAUUCAUAACUUCUCAUAAUUUAAUUUAUGCAAGAUUAAUUUAAUUAUUUGCCAACAGGUACAAUACUUUUGUUUGUCUUUUGUGUUUUGGAAAAUGCAUGCGAAAUCCAUGCAUAUGCAAACAUUUUGUACAAGAAAUUUGCAUAUCAGUACUGCAUAAAAGAGUGACUCUGGAGUUAUGGAAUUAUUUGAUAAUAUUGAAUACGAAAUAAAUAAAAAAUAAAAGAGUGGGUGAUUAAUCCGAAUUGGGAGGAGGACAGGUGUUGUGAUGGACAAGGGCAGCUAGGUAUUCCUUUUCAAACGAAGAAGAUAAAAGAUAAAACAUAUAGUGUGGUGGUCGAAGAUAAAUGAUUACAAUAACACUAAUAUGAUCUGCUUUGCCUUCGUCCACCACCUCAUCUUUAUGUUUUUAUCUUGGUUGUGACUCACGUUGGCCUUAGUCUGAAAGUGCUGUCAGUCCUACUAUCGUGGUUCUGUUGCCUACCUUUUGAUUUCUAUAUCUCAGGGUCUAUUUGAAUGUGCCGUGGGGAUAAAGUUAGAAAAUUGCUUUUAAGGGUUGAAGUUAAAUUAUGUAUCUUUAUAGUUUUUAGAGGUGUUGAAUCAAAAUUUUAUUAUUUUUUGAAUAAACUGUAAAUUUACAAUGUUUAACUUAUAAUUUUAUUGAUUUAGAGAGAUUUAAAUAAUAGUUUUCCAUUUUAGGGGUGUAAGGAGUAAUAUUCAUUUUAAGGGUCUAAAGAGUAAUUUUCAUUUUAAGGGGACUACGAUUAGAUUUGAUUAUGAGUUAGGUCACCUGUCCAAGCUCGAUGGCCCUAUUGAAAAGUGAGGGAGUUUGGAAAAUAACAUAGGCCUGAAAAAUAAGCUUGGACAAAAAAUAAUACCCAUUUUCUAAAUGGGCCGAGCCUCGAGUAAGAUAUUUUUGCUUGGGCCCAACUCGACCAAAUUUGCUUAAAAUUUUUUCCUUACUACUGUUAACUGUUUUUUUGCUAUUAUAUUAUUACUAUUUUAUUGUUAUGUUUGGAUAUUGUAUAAUUAUUGUUUAUUGUUAAUUUUGCUACUAUUUUAGAUGCAUUUGCUUGCUAAGUUGCAACUAUCUUAAUGUUAUAUAAGUAUAAAGACUUUUUUUUAAUGUAUUUUCAAUUUGUUGGGAAAUAUUUAUUUUAAUAUUUUUAAUAUAUUUGAUGUAUUAUAUUUUUUAAAAUAAAAAAUAAUAAAAAUAAUUUAAUAGAGGCGGGCCGGGCCAAGCUUAGGUUUGGCAUUGUUUUAUUUGAGUCAGGCUUGAACAAAAAUUUAGGCCUAUUUUCGGGUCAGGUAGGGCCAGAACCUAGAAAACGAGCCUAAAAUUCAAUCCAAUUGAGCUCAUGAUCAAGUCUAGCCACAACCCCUACUGCUCUGGUCAAUGCCUUUGGAGACAAUAUUAAUUCUUUUAAGAUUGAAAAUAGCGAUGGCGAUGAAAUUAAUUACUAUAGCAAUGAGAUUAGUUAUUAUAGCGAUGAUAUUAAAAAUAGUGAUGAGAUGUGUGUUAGGAUUCAAACACGACAAUAAUAGAAAAAUAGAUAAUAAAUUUGUAAUAAGAAAGCAAAAUAACCGUUAUAGACAUUAAACUAAAGUAGUUUUCAGCUUCUUCUCAUUGCACUCUUCUUCUCAAUUCUUUUCCAUUUUUUUGGUCUUUCUUAGUUUUGUUUAAUUUGUUGCUACCAAGGUAAUGCUCUGACAUCUUUUGUUUUUCUUAAUUUUUCGUUAUUCUUUCCUCUUGUUCUCUGGAAACCAAUUUGCUCUCAUCUGUUGGGUGUUGUUUAUCUAUUAUUUUAUUUUAUCUAUUUGUCGCUCCUAACGACUUUUUUGUCACGGUUCUGGUCCGUGUCGCUUCUAGUCUUUAAUUCGGUUGUUGGUCUUCGCGAUUUGGAGUUUUGGGAUUGUGGUAAGGUUGCAUGGGAGGUCUGUGAAGCGCGUAAUUCUUUGUCGAUGAACAGUGUCGUAGGAAUUGUUUCUUCUUUAGGUGCUGAAAUGGCUGUUGUGGGUCGACAUCGGAAAGCAGUAAGUUGUGUAACGAAAAAAUUGAAAAAUUCGAAAAACAGCGAUCGAAGAAAGUUGAAAAAGUGCACUAUCGAUGCCACAUGACCGUGUGGUAGGCCGUGUGUGACACACGAUCAUGUGACAGGCCGUGUGCAAGUUCGUUUGGCCACACGGUCUGGGCCAAUUGGGCUGUGUGGGCCACACGGGUAUAAACGAGGCCGUGUGGGCCCAUUUUUUGGAAAUUCCAUCUUGGCCCAAUUUGAUCGGUAGAAGGUAAUUAGCCUCUCCGUAGGGUCCGUACCGCUUAAAUAGGACUUGAAAACAAGGUAUCUAUAAAUAUGGUUCUAUGUUGUGUUAAAUGUAUAUGUAUUAUAAAUUUGUAUGAGCUAAUACUAUUAGUUCUGAAGGUAUGUCUUGAUUCGUUAUGUCUGUAUAAGCGUCUAUAUUGUACGAUCAUGUUAAUUUGUAUUUUUGAAUUUGAUAUAACCAUGCAUGUGAUUUCAUGGUAAAACUUAUGUGUUUCUAUAAGAUUAAAUAAAUCUAUUCUGUAAAGCUUGGACUUUCAUGUCUUUUGUUUCUGUUAUUGUACGUCAGCAUGUUCUACAUGCUCACCAUUUUGAUUCUGUACAUACAUGCCUUGACACAUUGCAUGGAAUUUUGAUAAUGUUAAAGGAGAAAGAUUCAGUAUUGGUAGUUUAAUGAUCUGCGUAAUUCAAUGGCUUGAUCACAUAUAUUUGAUCUGGCAAUUUAACUGCAUAUUGCUAAGACAUUGUUACCGGGCAACCCGGGGUGGCGGGUCAUUAUUGAUGGGCAACCCGUGAUGACUUAACUGGUGUGUUUUUGGAUGGAAGAGUUCUAGGGAACUCUAUUUUGGUGUGUAGCGGAGUUGGGUAGGACGUUUUCUAAAAAAAUCCGCAUUAUGAUUUUCUAAAAUAUCGAAUUGGCAUAAUCAUACAUAUUCAAUUAUGUUUGAUUAAUUGUUAUAAAAUUUGCUGUGAUUUUCUUAUUUGUUUAUUGUAUUGUAUGUGACCUUAGCUUGAGUUUUAGUUAGACACUAAACUUAAUAGCUCAACCAUUUGUUUUUUUUUUUGUACAUUUCAACACAUUUCAAGUAAUCGGUAAGUUAGAGUAGGACGGCGUGCAGGUGCUCGGAUGGUUUUAUCAGUUAUUUCUAAAAAAUUGGCAAUUUUCGUAAUUGUUUAUUUUGAACUUUGGGGCUGUAAUUUUUUUUUGGGUUUUUGUUUUGGUUUCUAUUUAAUUCAUCGAUGUUGAUAUUUGCGAACAUAAAAUUGCUAAAUCUUGCUGGGUUAACAAUUUAAAAUUUUGAUUUCCAAAAUUAAAUCUCUGAAAAUUUUCCAUUGUAAACUAACUCCUAAAGAGUUUUUCUAUAUAAAAAACAAAUGGUUUUAAUGAGUGUUUGCCUUAAACUAGAAAUGAUUUGUCAAAAUAGAUAUUAUCAAAACACACGAUUUGAAAUUCAAAAUUCUGGGUUUUAAGUGAGUUUUUUCCGAACUUAAGUUUUUCUAAACAUUCAUGAAAGUUUUGCCAAAGUGUAUAUUUUCGAAAUGCAUUUAGUUUGAUCGAAGCAAAGGCUUUUGAACAAGUUGAAUGUAAUUUCUCAACAUCCGGUCAUAACUUUUAGGCCAAGUUUAGGAUCUUACAGUUGGAUUGUUAAAUUAAUAAUUAUACAAAAAUAUAUUAAAGCGUAUAAAAUUACUUUGGUUUCAUACUAGUGUAAGCAGACCCCUCCCCUUUUAAUAUAUAAAAUUAAUUAUAUCUUUUAAAUUAAUGUAUUUAAUAUUAUUUAUAAAUAUAUUUCUUUAUACACCUAACUAAUGUAAAUAAAAUACUAAAUAUGAUUUGAAGUAAUGAAAUAAAAUAAACACUAUAAAUAAAAAUAUUAAAAUUUUGAAAAAUAUGGAAAAAAAAUUAAUGUAAAUAUCUCCAAUCACUCUGUGAAUGCCUCGAGCUUCUAGACCUGUGCACUCCAAACCUCCUCAUCUAAUGAAUCCACUAUGGACACCUUGUUCAUUGGUUCAAAGUGGUUGAUGUUGGUUUCCAUAUAUCCUUUGUCUCCGAUAAGAAAGGAUUUCUUCCAAAUUGAAAAUCUUGUAUUGAAGCAUGUCAUUUUACCAUAAGCCAUUCAUCGUAGAAUCGAACUCGUUUAACUUUGAAAUCACUCUCCUAAUGCAUGUUAUUUGGAAAGUUGUUGAUGAAGAUUGUUGAACACCCUUAGUUUUUCCACUCCAUUUUUCUAAUGUCCGCCCCCCUUGGUUAUAACAAUCCGGAACCUCCCUUAAUCUAACUUAUUAUAAAAUUAAAAAAAAAACUCUAAAUAAGACAAUAAAAGGUUUUAUUUAUUUAUUUAUACCACAUUAUAGCAUGAUGAACAUUACAAAUGGGCAUGAAUAAAUAGACAUAUACUAGUGGCAUAAGCUUGAAGACCUGACUUACCAAUACACUAGAAUUUCACACAUAACAAACGCACGCUAUAUACGGAGAUGCAUGGGAAAACAGCGGUAGGUAGAUAUAAGUCAACUGGCUGUCAAAUUUAUUCUAGUAGUAGUGCAAAACAUAUAUAGCACAUUAUUAUUGCUGACACUGACAACCUGAGCACCAGCAUUUUGAUCAGAAAUUUAAGCAAAGCCACCCAAGAAAGCUGCGUUUGUAUUACCAUCACUGCAAUAAAGGCAAGGGUUCUGCUCAAUCCAUUGUCCAUUAAAAUCUUGGCAGCCUCAGCCAUAAGUGUCUGUUGCUUAUUCCAGCACCCAUGUGCUGAUCGAUUAUGCUAAUUACCACUGCAAGGGUGAACGCCCCAAUGGCUAUAUUCUCCAAAACUAGGUCAUAUGAUGUCUCAUUGGCUUCACACCCACUUAAUAAAAUCCCUUCAUCCUCCUCCAGUGGAUCCAACACCAUUAACCCAUCUACGUAGUGAGGAAUGAGGAUGGAAUUUGAGAUUCACAUCUUUCCCGAAGAUUCCAAAAAUCUUUUGACCAACAUUUGCUGCGUCGUGUAGGAUUCCUGCUGCUGUAUCUAUCGCACUAUGCAUAAUAUCAAAAGGAAAACUCUUAGCCUGAGCCUUAGAAGGUUUAGGCUUGUCGGUAUUUACUGUUGUCGUCAUAUGCUCACCACCAAAUUGUUCUUUCUCUUUUUGAAUGAGACCACCACUGUGGCACGAAUCUGAUAGGAUUGUGAAGCUUGCUCCUUCUGGUAGCCGGUUAACUAAACGCCUGAAGUCCACGUCUGCAGAAACCAUGUAUAUAUAUAGGGUAUGAAUAUAUGUUGCUAAAAUAAAUAUAUAAAUUCAAACAAAAACCUUCCAGUGACAAGAUAUAAAUCACAAGCCACGAUUGCUUCAUCAUGCUUGAAAGGCUAGCCAGCUUGAAAGAUUGGAAUGCGAGUUCCAUGUCCACUGAAGUAGAAAGAAAGGACAUCUCCUGGUUUAGCCUUGUUCACCAUCUUAUUAAGUGCAUCCUUAAUGUUUGCACCAGUAUGCGGAACCGGCGACCCUGGCACAUCGAUGAGCACAUUAACAUCGCUUACCUUAAACCCAAAGUUUCAGGAUCACAUCUGUUAUGGCUUUCACAUCAUUGAUGCAUCCAUGCAAGCUGAACUGGGUCUUGGGGUAGUUGCAUCCCACCAGAACAGCUCUCUUCGUACCCUUACCCAUCUUGCUUUGGUAAUUUGACUAUUUUGUGUUGCUUGUACUGUUGUAUUAAUGUGCUUCCACUUUCUCACUAAGAACCUAUAUAUAUAGACACUAAUUUACAGCAUGAGUACUGACCAUAAAGUUGACGACAUGUAGGUAGGUAGGUAGGUACAACACUUUUGUUUGUCUUUUGUGUUUUUGGAAAUGCAUGCGAAAUCCAUGCAUAUGCAAACAUUUUGAGCAAGGAAUUUGCAUAUCAGUACUGCAUAAAAGAGUGACUCUGUUGUUAUGCAAUUAUUUGAUAAUAUUGAAUGUGAAAUAAAUUCAAAAUAAAAGAGUGGGUCGUUAAUCCGAAUUGGGAGGAGGACAGGUGUUGUGAUGGACAAAGAGGAAGACAAGGUGGUUUCCGAUUGAAGCAAGAAAGCUCUAGCAAAAGGCAGCUAGGUAUUCCUUUUUCAGACAAAGACGAUAAAAGAUAGAAAAUAUAGGGUGGUGGUCGAAGAUAAAUUAUUAUAACAGCACUGAUAUGAUCUGCUUCGCCUUCGUCCACCACCUCAUCUUUAUGUUUUUAUCUUGGUCGUGACUCACGUUGGUCUUCGUCUGCAAGUGCUGUCGGUCCUACUAUCGUGAUUGUGUUGCCUAGCUUCUGAUUUCUAUGUCUUAGGGUAUAUUUGAAUGUGCGGUUUGUAUGAGGGUGAGGUUAGAAAAUUGAUUUUAAGGGUUGAAGUUAAAUUAUGCAUCUCUAGAAGUGUUAAAUUAAAAUUUUAUUAUUUUUUGGAAUAAAUUGUAGUUAUAUAAUGUUUAACAUAUAAUUUAAUAGAUUUUAGAGAGGUUCAAAUAGUAAUUUUUUAUUUUAGAGGAUAUAAAGAGUAAUUUUUAUUUGAAGGGGGCUACAAUUAGAUCUGAUUAUGAGUUGGGCUAUUCUUUCAAACUCGAAGGGCUGCCCAAAAAAUGGGAUUGUUUAAGCAAAAAUAUAGGCUCAAAAAAUAGGCUUGGACAAAAAAUAAGGCUUGUUUCCCAAAUAAGUUGGGUCUUAGGUAAGAUUUUUUGCGUAGACCUAACCUUACUCGAAUUUGGUUAAAAAAAAUCCUAUUGCUGUUAACUACUAUUUUGCUACAAUUUUACUAUUAUAUUGUUGCUAUUUUUUUAUUAAUGUUUGAAUAUCAUGUAAGUUUGUUUUACUAUUAAUUUUGCUACUAUUUUAGAGGCAUUUUCUUGCUAAAUUGCAACUAUCUUAGUGUUAUUCAAGUAUAUUUUUUUAAAAUAUAUUUUUAAUUUGUUGGGAAAUAUUUAUUUUAAUGUUUGUAGUGUAUUUGAUAUAUUAUAUUUUUUAAAAUAAAAAAAUAAUAUAAAAAAGUUUUAAUAUGGGUGGUCUGAGCCAAGCACAAGUUUGGCAUUUUCUUAUCUGGACUAGGCUUGAUCAAAAUUUUAAGUUUAUUUUUCAUAUCAAGUUAGGCCCAAGCCUAGAAAAUGGGUCUAAAAUCCCAGCUCAACUUAGCCCAUGAUCAAUUCUAGCCACGUCCCUAUUUGCUGUGGUCACUACUAGCGAUGAGAUUAAUUUCAAUGAUAUUAAAAAUAGUGGUGAGAUUAGUUACUAUAGUGAUAAGAUUAAAGUCAAUAGUGAAAUGGUGUUAGGAUUCAAACACAACAAUGACAGCAACAUAGAUUAUAGAUUUAUAGUAAGAAUGCAAAAUGACCAUUAUGGACAUUAAAUUAAAGUAGCUUACACCCUUCCAUAUGCUUUUGUACAAGUAAUAUUUUAAUGAUAAAAAUGUCAUAUUUAAUAUUUCAUUGAUAUAAAUCAUAUGCAUAUCUUUAACAUAAAUUAAAAUUUUCUAACGAUUUGUUUUAUGUAUGAAUACUUUUAAUUGUUUAAUAAAUGUUAAUAUAUAUAAUAUUUUAGAUCGAUAUGAUAGAAAUAUCGAAUCAAUUUGAAAAUUUAAAUGCAUGAAAAGUGCAAUAAUAUCAAAAAAUAUAUGAAAGCGUAUAAAAUUACUUUAGUUUCACACUGGCGUAAGCAGAUCCCUCCCCUUUUAAUGUGUAAAAUUAAUUAUAUCAUUUAAAUUAUGCAUUUAAUAGUAUUUAUAAAUAUAUUUCUUUAUACACCUAACUAAUGUAAAUAAAAUAUUAAAUACGAUUUGAAGUAAUGAAAUAAAACAAAUUUUAUAAAUAAAAAUAUUAAAAUUGUUGAAAAAUAUGGAAAAUGUUGAAUGGGAUUAAUGUAAGCAUUUCCAAUCACUCUGUGAAUGCCUCGAGCAUCUGGAACCUGCACUCCAAAAUUCAGACUAAUAUAAAUGUUACAUGAAAGAAGUUAAAAUCAUGAAAUAAGUACUUUUCAAAAUUCGGUAUUUACACUUGCCCAAUAAUAUAAAUAUAUUCAGCAUUUAAUUUUGUGACAUACAUAAAAUUUUAAUAAUACAAAUUCAGUAUUUUUCUUGGGUUUAUCAAACGAAAACUUGGUAAAUAUAUGAUUAACAAGGAGAUGUUAAUUGAAGUAGAUAAAAUUCAUUCCCAACAUGACUUGAAGAAGGUUACAUGGCAUCUCAGAAAAUGAAGGGAAAGCAUUCUGAAAAGGUUAGUUUCUUCAGAUAUUCAAAAUACAAAUUUCAGACCAUAUCGUUCUGUGUACAGAUGAAAGGCAUCAAAGUAGCAGUUGAACUUACGGGGAUCUUUAGGGGAAAGAAAGGAGAGAGAAGACCACAGACAAUGAAAUCCAUACAAGCAAAAAAUGAUAUUGUCAGUCUUAGAAAUCCAUACUUUCAAAAAACAUACUUCAUGAUCCAUGAUUUUAUGAGAAGACUCUUUGGAGGAGAACUUCCUAGGUCGACUUAGAAGAUAUGAAUGACAGUCUUCUAGAAAACUUCCUAAAUACAGUCAGUUUUAAAAUUCAAAAAAUGAAAAACCUUGAUUAAUUGUCAGUUAUGUCCUUUUCAACUAGCUGGUUGCAUACUGCAUAUGAAUGCUGACAAACAUUUCUUGCGUCCAUCAGCUUAUGCGAGAUUCCUCCAGUGUUGUAUGAAGAGGUUUCUUGAAAUGAUUCCCUAGCAAAAUGGUAAUACAGUGGCAAAGGUGAUAUUUCUGACAUCACCUAAGUUUUUUUAUUUGAUUUAUCUGUGAAGUUAUGGUUCUUUCUUUCUAAUAGAUUAUCUAUCAAGUUGAUUCAAGUAAUUAAGCUUAUUGGCUAGAAAUAAACAAAGAAUCUUGGAUUUCUAAAUUCUUAAUAGGUUCAGCUAUAUUUGUUGAAGGAUUCGGUGUAUGCUAAAGUUGCACCAAAAUCCACAGCCAAAUACUCAAAAACUCUGUUUGCAUAUACUAUAUUGUCAUUCAAAAACUGUCAGUCAAAUACUCAAAAACAAACCUUCUGAAAGUAGUGUUUGAUAUCUCUCAGCAAGGCAUCUAUAGUCUCAGAAAUGGACAGACAUACUUCGGUGCCACAGAAAACAAAUAAAUAAGAUCAUAAUGUUUUGUAUAACCUAAGAACAGAGAAAUGUUUAAGUAUGGCGCAUACCUGAACUUUGCAUCAUUCUUAGGAAUUGAAGGUAUCCUAGUCAGCCUUCUCGCAGAAACACUUCCUCUAAGAUUUAAGUGAUAAUGAUAUAUCUUAUUAUCACUAAUGCCUGCAGCCAGACACAAAAUUGACUUUAUUAAAUACAUAACGAAGAAUUUAACAGAAGAGACACACACACACACAUAUGCAUGUAUAUAUAUAUUGUUUAAUAUGCUCUAACUAACGGAAUAAAUGGACAAAUUUUAAUAUUAAAAGGAAAAAAAGAAGCAUGCCUCUUGACAACAUUUCAGGCACUAUAAGCAGCGUAGUAAACUUAAAGCAAAAUUGAGUCAUUGACAACCCUGUAUUAUCGCCCACACCUUAAGCAGCUAACAACUGACAGGCAAUACGCAUAGCCUAGUGGUAACCAUGUUAAUCUUCCAAAAAGGAGAUCUCUGGUUCUAAUUCCCUGUUCCCCUAACUGUUGUCAAAAUCUAAGCUAUUCAACCAUGGAUAUUUGACUAGCAAGAAAAGAAUACUGAGACACUAAACUUACUGGUAGUUUUGAUGGAAAACAACCCAUCUGCGGCAGACGGAAGUCAAAUAAUCAUGAAACAUAAAUAUUUAUCGAGAUCUUUGUAUCUAGAAUCAAAUGAGCUCAUCAUCAUCAUCAGCCACUUACCCCACUUUUCCGUUGCACUUAAGGUCUUGAAACUCCUCCAAGCAACUACCGGUGCCCGUAUCUGAUACUGCUCAUUAAGAUACAAAAUAAAUAGAUUUUUCUAGAAACGGUAUCUAUCAUUUACAGUCUACAGAUUUACCUUGCAUGACCUAAUCAUUUUUAAAAGCUUAUUUAUGCUUUUGAUGAACUCAUUUGAAAGAAAACCAGCCAAGACCAUACCGUUUCAACUUCAAAAUGACAUGAUUUCAAUGCAUAUUUUCCAAUUUAGAUAUAACUUCCUAUUUUUCUGAAAGAUCGCGUCACAAAAAAUCAAAGUAAAUAAUUCUAAUUAUAGUGAGGCAAAAAUUAAAGGAAGAAUGAAAAGUAUUCACUUGAAUGAUUGGAGGAGAGCUCUUGAGAACGACUGAUAGUCGGCAAAGAUCUUCGGAUAAACGACAUCUUUGAACAGCAAAAGAAAUUAAUUGACAAUAAGAAAAACGAAAGGAAAUUAAAGAAGAAAAGGAGAUUAGAGUGGAUUAACAUAUUAUUAUUUGUUUUUUUUCCAAACCUAAGAUUGCUUAAGGUAUCUAUUAUUUGGUUCGUAAAAGUAUAUUGUGGAAAUUUUAUGGACUAAACACCAUUGUAAAUCACAUAUUCUAGUUUUGUUAAGUAAAAAUUAAAAAAAUAUAUAGAAGAAUUGAAAUAUCAAUCAAAACCCCAAUUUUCUAAUCACCCAACCAGCAUAACCCAUAAUUCAGAAGAAAAGAGAAAAUAAAUUACAAUAGAUCUAGAAAUUAAAAAAAAACACAAAAAUAAAAAGCCAAUAAGAAAAUUUAAAAAAAAGGAAGAAAUGAAGAAGAAUUGUCUUACCUGAGAUAAUGUCACCUUUUGCGGCGUUUUUACCACAAAGGCUGCUAUUUCUUACAUUAUUUUGUGGUGUUUUUAUCAUAUAUGCUACUAUUGCUUUACCUAUUGCAGCAUUUUUUCGUUAGCACUACUAGUGUAUAACAUUUGCGAUGUUUUUCGUCCAAACACCGCUAAAACCUUAAUUUCCUGUAGUGGACCCCUAUGUGAUGGCCUGAUGGUUAAAAGUGUUCAUCGUCCUAGGUGUUGUCUGGGUUCAAAUCGUGUUAGUUGCAUUUGUCGUUCGGGCUUUUCCCUGUUAUUGUAAUUCACCAAAAAAGAAAAAAGUUAAUAUUUUGUUUUUAGGUUUGUUAUAUUUGUUAAAAAAUACCAGUGACUAAAUGGCUUAGGGACAAUUAAACAAAGUUUAUAAUUUAUCGAGAUAUAUUCUAAAAUAAAAUAUAAAUAUUUAUUCAAUGUGUAAUUUAAUACGUAAAUUUUAAUUUUAUACAAUUAUAUAUAUGAUUUUUUUAAAGUGAGAUGAAUUUAUGAAUUUAUAGUAUUAAUUCCAUAUUAAACUAUUAUAAUUUACGUACAUUCAAAAAUAAUAAUAUUACUUUUGGCUCACAUGCAAUUUAGUUAGAUACGUUACGUUUACCUAACUCAAAAUUUUAAAAAGAAAAAUUAUAAAGGCAGAUUAUGUUUUUAUAGAUGUGAUUUAGUAAUACAAAUGUUUUAUUCUUUAUCUGAAAAAGAUGAGUUUUUUUUUAUAAUUUAAUUAAAAUUUACAAUUAUGAUUUAAUUUGGUGUAGCUUUUAGAGAUGACAAUGGAGUGGGGUGAGAGUAAAUAUUGUUAAAUUUAUUAUCGAUCAUCGCUCCAUCAUUUGCAUGUUGUAUACAUUCAUCCUCGACACACCCCAACCCACUUUGCUCCACUUCAAUUUAUUUUUUGAUAUUUGUUUUUGAUAUUUUCAAUCUUUUUAAAGUCAAGUAAAUAUUUAAAUGUAAUUCUUCAAAAAAUAUUUAAACAUAAAAUAUUUAAUUUUUUUUCUAUAUUACAUUUUUAUAUUUUUACCCUUAAAAUAGUUUAUAUAUACAAGGAUAAAAUAGUAAUUUUAUACAGUAGAGUGGGUCGGGGAAGGACAAACAAUUAUCGUAAUUACCGAAAAAAAUUCACCCUGUCCUGUCCUGCAUCCACUCUUUAAAAAAAAAAAAACAAAUGUUUCAUUCGAAGAGAAACAAUUCAAAAUCUAUUUGAUGGAUUGAGUUUUGCCAUACCUAAUAACUUCAAUCCGAGUUCAUAAUUGAAUGCUGAUGAGUUUAGAUGGUAAUUUGUUUUCCAAACUUUUUGAUGUCGUCUUCCUUCAACAUGCCUAUCAACUAUUUAAUCAUUUACCUCUUAGAAAACUACAAAUUGUUUUGGUGUAACACCCUUAACCCAUAUCCGUCUCCAAAUUAGGGUUACAAGGCAUUACUGAACAAAACACAACUCAGAACAGACGUUUAUUUGAAUUCAAAAAUUUUAACAUCUAUAUGAAAAUUUGUUUAACUCAAAUUGUACCUGAACUUAUCUACUUACUCUUUAUAACCUAUUAACAUUCAAUCUAAAUGACAUUCUACCUUAUGAAUAUUCGGCUAUUUGACUAAUUUCAAAUCUAAAUUAACUAUUUUAAAACAAAACAUAAACAUUGCAACGAUCUAAACCAUAAGGAAAUAAGGCAUUUUCACAUGGCUAAUAUUUACAUAAACAGUAUCUCAAAAUACAACAUACAAAAAUAAUGUCCAGCCUAUACAUGCCAUAAGUUAAGUUCUAACAUUUAAAUACCAAGAUAGUAGAUAGAGUUAUGAACUUUGCUAACGAUCCCCGAGCUUGAAGCUUGAAUUUUUAAGUCUAUAAAACAGAGAGACGUAAACGAACAAAGUAAGCUUAUAUAGCUUAGUAAGUCUAUAGCAUAACUAAAAUAUAUAUAAAAGUCAUAUAAUUUCCAAAUUAAAUUCACUGAAAUUGUAAAUAACACAAACAAUUAUAAUAUUAGCAUUUGUUGUCCUUAAACCAUUUUAUAUAUAACCAAAUAUAUGUACCUGUCGAAUGCAUACAUCUGAAUAUAUGUAUACAUAUACAUCAUGUGUAUAUAACCGAUCAUAUAUAUAUACUAAAUAAACAUUAUAACCGAAUGCAUAUAACCGAACAUGUAUAUAUAUACUAAACACAUAUUAUAUCUGAUUGUAUAUAUAUACUCGUCUUAAACUUAAAACCCAGUACAUAUCUAAAGCAUAUAACCGAAUGCAAAUAUAUUCAUCAAAUACUUAUAAACAAAUGUAUAUACACCUCAAAUACAUAUAUAGAUACUUAUCGAAUACAUUUGCCGAAUGUAUAUAUAUUUAUCAACUGCUUAGCAAAUGCAUAUACCUAAUGCAUAUAUAUUUAAUAUAUGCAUAUACCGAAUGCACAUAUAUAUAUUUAACAAAUGCUUAGACCGAAUAUAUAUAUGCUCAUCAAUUAAAUAUAACCAAAAUCAUAUAACUGAACAUUUGUAUACUCAUCAAAUACUUGUAACUGAAAUCAUAUACAUAUCCAAUGCAUGUAAUCACAUACUUUAAAUAGAUUCACCGACACUUAGCCUGCUAAGCUUGAAGCCUGAUUCUGUACACCGGCACUUAGCCUGCUAGACAUAUAGUCUGAAAUGUUUCACCGGCAUCAAGCCUGCUAGACGUAAAGUCUAAAUUAUUUCACUGACAAUAAACCUGAUAGGCACUGAGCCUGAAAAUCUCAAUUCACAGAAGUUGUAACUCUUAUUCGAACUAUAUUUGUAUAUAAUAUCCAUACAUAAAAAUUCAGCUCAAUAAUUUAUUAACUAUAUCUUUAAACCACAUAGAUAUAUAAAGAUCAAAUACCAAAUUCAGCUAAAUGACUUAAUUAUACAUCCGAACACUCACAUAUAUAUAAUUUAAUAAAUUAAAUUCUACUACUAAAAUCUUAUCAUUUAACUUAUAUCAUACCUUAAGUAACAUACAUUUACUAAUCGAAUCACUUAAAUACAUAUAUAUUUCAUAACAUUAAAAAUCAAUUCAAAGAAAAUAUAUCAUACAUUCGAACACCUUAUAAAUAAUGUAAGCUAACAAUUUCAUACCUUUAAAUAUAUUCAAGACUUAUUCAUAUACAUACAUAUAUGUUCCAACUCACAUAUACAUAUAUAUAACAUUCAUACUUUUAACCAAGUCCAAGGGUUUAUACAUGUAUAUACUUAUAUAUAUUCGGACCUUAUGUAUACAUAUAUAUUAUAUAUAUACCUUUGAUUAAAAACAAGAAUUUAUACAUAUAUAUAUAUAUAUUUUCGAACAUGAUACAUAUAUAUAUAUAUCAUUCAUACUUAAACCAAAUUCAAUCUAUAUACUUUCAAUUUCAGCACAUCAAAAUAUAAUAUAUAUACAUACAUAUAUACUGAUUUAAUAACAUCAAAUUGCUAAUAGACUUACCUCGGACAGUGUAAAAUCGAAACUGGACGAUUAGUCGACUACUUUAGCUUUUCCCCGAUUCAACUCCAAUUUCUUUAUUUCUUGAUCUAAAUAUAUUCAAAAUAAACUAGUUUAAAUAUUAUUACAUUCAAUUUAGUCCAAAAACACAUAAAUGAGAAAAUUACCAUUUUGCCCCUGACAUUUUACACUUUUUGCAAUUUAGUCCCUAUUGCAUAAAACACAAAAUACGCAAAAUUGCCCAACCUAUGCUAGGGCCGAAUGUUCAUAGGCUUCAUAAAAGUCCACACAUUUCAUUUAUUUCACAUUUUAGUCCCUCAAUAAAUUUAAUUUCACAAGUUAGCCCUAAUUACUCAAUUUCACCAAAAAUUCAAAGACAAAACAUAUUAAUCUUUCACCCAUCUUUCAUAUUUCAUCAUCAACUAUCAAAAAGCUCAAACAUUCAUCAAUGGCAUAUCUCAAAAUCACCAUCAAAUUCUAAAAUUAAAGCAUGGGUCUUGUAGUAUACACAAAGCAACGAUCUCAAAACGUAAAAAUUAUCAAAAAAUCGAAACAAAACUAACCUCAAUCAAGCUAUGAAAGUGCCAAACUUUAGAAAGCCAUAGUUGGGUUCUUCAUGCUUAACAUUCGGCUAAGAAAAGAUGAAAACAUUCAUCUUUUCAUCAUUUAUUUUUAAUUAUAAUGUUUAAUUUAACAAUUGACUAAAUUAACCUUAUUAUAAUAAAUAUAUAAAACAUAUAUAUUAAGGUUAAUUAUAUCAUAUGCCACCCACUAUCUACUAUAUGGUCUUAUUGCAUCAUAAAUCCUCCCAUUUAAAAAGAAAACAAAAAAUAGGUGCUUUUAUAUUUAACCUCUAAAUUUUUAUUUUACGCGAUUAAGCCCUUUUAUUAAAUCGGAUACUUAAACGACGAAAUUAAAACACGAAAAUUUCACACAAUAAAAUUCACACAUAAUAAACACACAAAAUAAUAUUAAAAUAUUUUUCUGACUCGAAUUUGUGGUCCCAAAACCAUUAUGUCCGAUUAGGGUCAAUAUUGGGCUGUUACAAAUGGUGCGUGUAUAACUAUGUUUUACAUUGCAUUUUAAAUUUUCCUUUUUUAAUAUCGGUUGGAAAAUAUGGACAUCACAUAUAUAUAAUAAGGGUAAUUACAUGUUUUUAUCUAUUAUCAUAAAAGGUUAGCCCAAAUUAAAAGUGAUCGAAUUUGGUUAAAUUUUAUUGGGCUUUAAUUAUUAAAUAAAGUAUAGGUUAAAUAUGUGUAGAUACUCUAGUAAUUAAUUUCUAAUCAAUAAUGGGUUAAUUAGAUAUUAGGUUAACGUGUAAAAGUUAUAUAUUAGGGUUAUGGUUAUCAAAUUACACAUAAAGUAACUUUUCUAAUAUUCCAUAUUUAGAAAAGAAAGAGUCACCUUCUCUGAAUUUCUUUUGUGCUAAUUUGGAAGAUCAAAACUCCAAUAUCCGUAGAUUUCAAGAAAUCAAUGAAUUAAGGUAUGCUUUCGCAUCUAGUUUUGUUCUUGAUGAUUUGAUACAUGAUAGAUCCUAGUUUACAGUUUUAAGUUUGUAUCCUAUUUUAUUUUACGGUUCUAACAAGUGGCAUCCGAGCCUCGUCAUGUUGAAUCAUUCUACUUCUAGCUAGAGCUUAUUCUCGUUGAUUUUCUUUUCUUUUAUUAUUUCUUUUUACUUUGUUUUAAUUUUUAUUUUAAUUUUUAAAUUUUAAACUCUUUAUAUUUUUAUUUUAAAAAUAAAAUUGUCACGGAUGUAUAUAAAUACAACAUUACCUAUUGCUAUCUACUCAUUUAUAUUUUUCAAUUAAAUUUUUGUUUUUAUAAAUCUCUACAUGCUUACAUUACUUCAAUACAACACCAAAAGAACCAAAUGUCAAACACCGACGCUUAUAAAUAAAAUUCUUGCAAAAGAAGCCGUUUUAUUUAUCAUAAAAUUAUACAUGGAAUAGCCAUACAUGGCGAUUACAUAAGCUUGAAUGCCUUAAAAAACACAGACAUUAUAUGAUAGUAAUAAGCAAACACACACACACAGACGAUAGUAAUAAGCAAACACACACACAGACGCAGUAAUGAAGGCUAACUUCAACUUCGUAGUAGUGCACAUCGAUCGAGCGCAUUAUUAUUUAGUUUAGAGUUUCGACCUCUAGUGAUCGAAAACCCUGGUUCAAAGCCGGCAGCUUACGCACCCGUAGUGGUGUUGGGUUGGUGGCCAAGAAAAGCUGCAUCAGCAUUCUCAUCACUGCAAUAAAGGCAAGGGUGCUGCUGCCCAAAUCCUAGGUUUAUUAUUUCAUUCCUGGCCUUCACCACAAGCUGUCUAUUGGUUAAUGCACCAUUGCUCUCCUUGAUGACCUUCAGAACUGUAUAGGUAAAGGCCCCAAACGCCUUUCCUCCAGUUUUGUCACUCGCUCGCAUAUCAAAUGAAAACUCAUUGGCUUGGCACCCACUUAACAGAAUUCCCUCAUCCUCCGUCAAUGACCUCAAAUUCAAAAUAUCACGUUCAUAAUGGGGUAGGAAUUUGAGACUCACAUUGUUCCCAAAGAGUGUGGUCAAAAGAGAGCCAAUACCCGUCAUAUUGUCUGUUCCAGUGUUGAUGGCAUUGGCAACUGCUGUUGUGUCCAAGAAGCUUUGUGUCGCGCUCACGACGUUGGCUGCUGUUUGUAGGCACUGGUAUAAGGUUUCAAUGGAAAUGCCCCUAGUCUUGUAAUCAACAGGUGGUGCUAUACCCCUUAGAGUACUAUGGGGUCCAAUUUGUUCUUUACUUUUAUCAAUCAGACCACCACUGUGGCAGGAAUCCGAAACCAUUGUGAAGCUUGAUCCACUUGGUAGUUGCUGAAUCAAUUGCCCCAAGUCCACGUCUGCACAACCAUGGCAACCACCAUAUGAUAUAAAUAAUAGUUUGCUUAGAUUGAGAGUAUUUUAAAAUUUUAAUUUACCAAGUUGAUUUCGUACCAAAAAUGGGAUUGAGAUCACAAGGCACAAUUGCUUCACCCCCGUUGGAAGGCUGGUAGGGGUCAAUGCAGUGCACAAGUCCAUGUCCACUAAAAUGGAAAAGCAGGACAUCUCCUUCUUUAGCCGCGACCACCAUCUUCUUGAGUUCAGCCAUAAUGUUUGCACGUGUAGGCUUAUACGUGGACUCUGGUUCAUCAGUUAGGAGCUCAACAUUUUCGGAAUCAAAGCCAAACCUGCUCACGAUCAUUUCUCUCAUGGCUUUCACAUCGUUUACGCAUCCGCUCAACUCGUUGAUGGUGUUGGGGUAGUUGCAUCCGACCAGAACGGCUCUCUUCUUACAUUCGGUGGCCAUCUUGCUUCUAUUUUGGGUCGCUUGUCUUGUCUUGUGCUUCGGACGUUGCACUAAACACCUAUAUAUAUACACCCAUACACACUGUAGUUUACACUAUGCUCACUGACCAUACUCUAAUAAAUAAGACAUCAUGUUGGUAGGUACAACUGUUUUAUUUUAUUAUUGUUUAUAAAAAUGCAUGGCAAAUCCAUAUACAUGCAAUUAGUUGUCUGUAUAAAAGUACCACUGUUAGAGUGUAUUUGGACUAAAAAUUUUAGAAUUAAUUUAAAAUAUUAAAAUUUGUAAUUGUUUUAUUUGGAUAAAUAAUUGAUUUAGGACAAAUUAAGUUAUUAGAAUUUUACAAAUUAAAAAUAGUUAUAAAAUAAAAAUUUUAUAUUACAAAAAAAAUUAAAAUUAACAUUAAAAUAAUUAUAAAAUAUUUUAUACACAAAAAUGAAUAAUUUGAAAAGCUUUCCAUAUUAUUAAGUCCAAAUUUGAUACCACACUUUUCCAAUUAAGCAAUUUUGAUAUAUUUGGCCUCUAAUAAGAAAUCAAGAAAUGGAAUGGGUGAUUAAUCCGAAUUGGGAGGAGGACAGGUGUUGUGAUGGACAAAGAGGAAGAUAAGGUAGGUAUUCCUUUUUGCAGACAAAUAAGAUAAAAGAUAGAAAAUAUACAGUGGUGGUCGAAGCUAGAGGAUUAUAACAGCACUGAUAUGAUCUGCUUCGCCUUCGUCCACCACCUCAUCUUUAUGUUUUUAUCUUGGUCGUGACUCACGUUGGCCUUCGUCUGCAAGUGCUGUCGGUCCUACUAUCGAGAUUCUGCUGCCUAGCUUUCGAUUUCUAUGGCCUUAUUUGGCAAUUGGCUCAUAAUGGGCAAAUUAUAAUUGUAUAAUGUUUAAGUUAUAAUUUUAUAGAUUUAAGAGAGAUCAAAAUAACAAUUUUUUAUUUUAUGGGUAUAAAGAGUAUUUUUCAUUUUAAGGGGGUCAUGGUUAGAUGUGAUUAUGGGUGGCGGUGUGCUCGAAAAGUGGGAGGGUUUAGGUAAAAAUAUAGGCAUGAAAAAUAGGUUUAGAUAAAAAAAAUACCCGUUUUCGAAACAGGUCGAGCCUUGAGUAAGAUUUUCUUUGUCCGGGCCCGGCCCGACCCAAAUUUGAUUAAAAAAAAAUUCUUGGUGUUGUUUAAUGUUGUUUUGCUACCAUUUUACUAUUAUAUUGCUACUAUUUUGUUGUUAUUAUUUGGAUGUUUUAUAACUUUGUUUUAUUAUUAAUUUUGCUACUAUUUUAGAAACAUUUGCUUGCUAAGUUGCUACUAUCUUAGUGUUAUUUAAAUAUAAAGAUUUUUUUUAAUGUAUUUUCAAUUUGUUGGGAAGUAUUUAUUUUAAUGUUUUUAGUUUAUUUGAUGCAUUAUAUAUUUACAUAAAAAAUUUUAAUACGGGUAGACCGGGUCAAGCUCAAGUUUAGCAUUUUUUAUCUGGUUUAAUCUUGGACAAAAUUUAGACCCAUUUUUCGGGUCGAUUUAGCCCAUGAUCAAGUCUAGCCACGACCCUUACCUGCUCUGGUCACUGCCUUUGGCAAUGAGAUUAAUUCCAGUGAGAUUGAAAAUAGCGAUGGCGGUGAGAUUAGUUACUAUAGUGAUGAGACUAAAAUUAAUACUAAAAUGUGUGUUAGGAUUCAAACACAACAGUGGUUUAUAGAUUUAUAGUAAGAAAGUAGAAUGACCAUUAUGGACAUUAAACUAAAGCAGUUUACACUCUUCAGUAUAUUUUUGUACAAUUAAUAUUUUAAUGAUAAUAACGUCAUAUUUCAUUUAUAUAACUCAUGUGUAUAAAAUUUAAUGUAAAUUUAAAAUGUUCAAACUAAUUGUUUUAUGUAAGAAUACUUUUAAUCGUUGAAUGAAUGUUAAUAUGUACAAUAUUUUAGAUUGUUAUGGUAGAAGUAUCGACUCAAUUUGAAAAUUUUUAUAUGCAUGAAAAGUACAAUAAUAUCAAUAAAUUCAAUGGUUGGAUUGUUAAAUUAAUAAUGAUACAAAUAUAUAUAUAUAUGAAAGCGUGUAAAAUUACUUUAGUUUCACUCUAGUGUAAGCAGAUCUCUCUCCUUUUAAUAUAUAAAAUUAAUUAUACAAUUUAAAUUUAUGUAUUGAAAUUAUUUAUAAAUAUAAGUAUAAAUAUAUUUCUUUAUACACCUAACUAAUGUAAAUAAAAUAUUAAAUGUUAUUUGCAAGUAAUGAAAUAAAACAAAUAUUAUAAAUAAACAACUCUCCGAAGGUUAAAUGGAAUUAAUGUAAACAUUUCCAAACACUUUGUGAAUGCCUCGAGCUUCUUGAAUCUGCACUCUAAACCUCCUCACCUAAUAAAUACACUAUGGACACUUUGUUGAUUGGCUCAGAGUGAUAGAUAGGAGUGAAUAAAACUCGAUUUGAUUUUUUAAAAAAAAUCAAAUUUUGAGUUAAUUGAAUUGAGUUAUUUAAGUUAUUUUUAUUUUUUUGGUCAACUCGAAUAAGUAAUUUGAGUUUCAAGUCGAGAUCGGGUUAAAUUUUACAAUUCGAAUAACUCAAAUAAUAAAUGUAACACCCUAUACCCAGCCUGGUCGUCGAGCCCGAAUAUCAGGAUGCCACACCAUCGUCUCAUGUCAUACACAACGAAUAAAAGCCCAUUUUAAAUGAAGACGUCUUCCACAAUAUCAUUCGUAAAGGUUUUAAGUCGAUCUUACUCUUUAGUUAUCAUCGUUACGUGCUAAUCAUACAUCAAAUAGUCUUACACUAAUAAUUAAACUUGCAUAGGGUUCAUUUAGCAAAAUUUUCCAAGCAAGUACGUAGGUAUCGAUAGUAGGACAAGGGUAUCAAUAUUUUCCUGGUACGGUAUUGAUGUCCUUUGUAAAAUUAGAACCAAAUCAGUAUUCUGUUUCUCAUCUAAAAUCAAAGUCUCAUAAAGUAUCAGUAACUUUGCAAAAGUAUAGAUGAAAUUACUUCGAGUAUCGAUACUCGUGAUAUGAUAUUGAUACCAAUCUACGAUUUUGACUUCCUACACAUUUCAAAAUCAUAGAUGUAUCAUUUUAAAAACAUGAAUAUCGAUACCUCUACUCCAAGCCAGAAAAAUACAACAUACUUGAGCACAAAAAAAUCAUUCUAACUUGUACUAAUUCAUCAUGCUAUCAUAUCACCAUCAAAUAAACAUCAAAAGGACAAUAUGAUAGUCUCAAACAUCGAAAGUAAGUCCGAGCAAUAAUCAACGUAAUACGAAAUGAAUCUCAUAAACUUAGGAACAAAUAAUCUAUGGAAGCAUCUAAAACAUCAUGGUAAAUACCAAUAGAAGUCUACCACAUUGCCUUUUUUCCAAAACAUAAACAAAUAACAAUAACACCUACUAAAUCACGGAAAUGAACUUACUUGGAUCACCCCUUGGAACCACACCGCUCACACCGGCACUUUAAGAAAGAAGUGGGUGAGCUUAACAAGCUCAGUGAAUGCCUAGAAUAACUACCAUGCAAACAAUUCAUCAAGCAUCAACGAAACAACCAUAUAGCACAACCUCAACAAUUCCAACACUAGUGUCAUAAUAUACUUACUCGUGCAUUAUUUUCUAUUUCUUUUACAUUGUAAACAUAUUCACUUUUAAACAUAUAUCUUGUUACACAUAUAAUCACCUAACAUCCAAACAUAUAUCACAAUACUCAUAUAAUCACAUAACAUUUAAGCAUAUAUCAAAAUAUUCAUAUAAUCACAUAACAUUUAAGCAUAUAUCACAAUACUCAUAUAAUCACAUAACAUUCAAGCAUAUAUCACAAUAUAUAUACAUAUAAUCACAUAACAUUCAAGCAUAUAUCACAAUAUACAUAUAAUCUCAUAACAUUUAAGCAUAUAUCACAAUACUCAAAACAUCUUUAUAGAUAAGUUAUGAAACGUAAAAGUGGGCACUAUCACCACUCAUCGGAUACACGGAUAUCCAGUACACCACAUAGACUCGUAGAGUCAAACAUGUCUCAAAAGUGAAGCAUAAAGCUAACACUCUCAUUAUUUCCCCUCACAUGCCCCAUUGAAUAGAGGCUAGCUCACAUUCCCUUAUCACUCCAACAUGUCCCAAGGCCUCAACGCCCAAAUCACUAUACAUAUAGAUGAGUACUCACAAUCCUAUGGCAUGCCUACUAUAUCCAACGGGUUCAAGAUCACAAGUCCAAAAUAUCCAAAAUUAAACACAUAUCACUUACCAACUAUCCGUGCACUAUCAUUGUAUAUUUGCUAUUUUUAGAAAAACAUUGUCACUAACAUUUAACAUAUACAUAACAUGUACACAUUUGCACUUUCACAACAGUUAUGAUAACCAUAUAUCACAUGUUAUAGCAUAUCAUCUCUGUUCACAUAUUCACAAACACAUAAGCACAUAGUUCACAAGAUAACAUAGGUAUGAGAAAGCUUACACUCGAAAUUUAGAGUAGGGGUUUAGGUCACAACUAAAUUCCAAAAUAACGCAUUGAAUCAUGUUCGCAAGUAAUUAUUCCAAGUCACCAAUUACACUUUCGUCGAAAAGCCAAACGCUCAAACUAGUUUUUCAUUGUCUUUAUAUCUACUCAAACUAGCUCAAACACUAAUCAAUUACUCAAUCUUUUUCCCUAAAAUCAGUUUCGUUCAUCUUAUAAUUUACCUACGACUAAUUCCCAACCUUUAAACUAGAAUAAAAUACUAAAUUCAUGGUAUUGACUUUUUCUACAUGUUUUAUGACUAUUUUCUGAAAAUUCAUUAAAACUCAAGAAUUUUUUAACGAAACUUCAAAGUAAGUUUAGAAACCUUCUAAUAAUGUUAAAACUAAUUGAAAAACACUUUAAAAUAUCGUUUUUAUGCAAAAUCUCAAAUUUCACCAUUAACGACCCAAUUUUCGAUUUUUAUUCAAAACAUGUGAUUUAAUGGCUAAAAACUUAGUUUUAAAGACUAAAUAACAUUUAAACAAAAAAAUCGAGCGUUUGAUGAAAAUCCCAAAAAAACCCACAAACUUGACAAUAGAGAAAUCUGUGGUGUUUUUGAGUGUUUUUCUUAGAUUUUAUGGAGAUAUUUGGCUUGGGUGAUGAUAGAAAUCAAGAGAAUUAAGGUUGAAGAUCAAAUAGUGGAAGAGAGGAGCUUUGAGAGCAAGGGGCGGCUAAAGCAUGAAAAUGGAGAAGACUAAGGUAAAAAUUAUAGGUGGGGAUGAUUUUAGGUUGAUUUUUAAAAUUUGUUUUAAUUGCCUCUUAAAAACUCACAAUUUUAACUCUUUUACAAAUCAAUCCUACUUUCAAAAUUAAAGAUAUUUAAAACUCAUUUUCAGAAAUUGAUUUAAUUUUAACCAUAGUAAAAAAAAUAUAUCGAUAAACCAAUUCAUAAAAUUCCGAACACUCUAAGGCUAAAAUUCCUAAAUUACCUCUAAACCCCUAGGUCCUAUUUUGGGAUGUUACAAUAAAUUGGUGUAAAUACACAUUUGGUCCCUGUCAAUUUUGAACAUGAGCAAAUUGAUCUUUCUCUCAACAAAAAUUACAAAAAAAAUUCAAAAUAUUUAUAAGAAUUUUAGAAUUUAAAACUUUUUUAAAUAUAUAUUAAAAAAUCUAAAGAAAUAUAAAAAAAUUAGAAAAAUCUAAUUAUCAUUUUUGGGACCUAAAUAAGUUAAUUAAUUAUUCAAGUUUAUCAUACUAUUUUUACUCUUUUUUUAAUGAAUUUUAAAAAAUAUAUGAUUUCAAAGAUAUGUGUUUUAGUAUAGAGUUAGUUAAAUUGUAAAAAUAUUUUAAUUUUUUCACUCGAUCCGAUCGAACGCUCACCUCUAGUGGUCGAUGUUCAUCGACAUAUAUCCUUUGUCUCCAACCGGAAAGGAUCUCUUCCAAAAUGAGAAUCUUAAAUUAGAGUGUGUCAUAUUUACCACAAGCCGUUUAUGAUAGAAUCAGACCCGUUUAAGCUUGAAAUCACUCACCUAAUGCAUGUUAUUUGGAAGGUUAUCGAUGAAGAUCGUUGCAACAACUAGAAGUUCGCCACUCCAUUUUUCUAUUGUCCGCCCUCCCUUGAUUAUAACAAUCCAGAACCUCCCUUACUCUAACUUAUAAAAUUAAAAAAACUCUAUAGGACAAAAUAAGACAAUAAAAGCUUUUAUUUAUUUAUUAAUACACUAGAAUUUCACACAUAGCAAAAGCACACUAUAUAAGGAGAUGCAUAGGAAAACAGCGGUAGGUAGAUAUAAGUCAACAGGCUGUCAAAUUUAUUCUAGUAAUAGUGUAAACAUAAGCACAUUAUUAUAGACGACACUGACAGCCUGAGCACCAGCAUUUUGAUCAGAAAUUUAAGCAAAGCCACCCAAGAAAAGUGUGUUUGUAUUCUCAUCACUGCAAUAAAGGCAAGGGUUCUGCUCAAAUCCAUUGUUCUUCAAAAUCUUGGCAGCCUCAACCAUAAGUUGUCUGUUGCUUAUUCCACCACCCAUGCACUGAUCGAGUACGCUAACCACUGCAUCGGUGAACGCCCCAAAGGCUCUAUUCCCCAAAACCAGGUCAUAUGAUGUCUCAUUGGCUUCACACCCACUUAAUAAUAUCCCUUCAUCCUCCUCCGGUGGAUCCAACACCAUUAACCCAUUUACGUAGUGAGGAUGGAAUUUGAGACUCACAUCUUUCCCGAAGAUUCCGAAAAUCUUUUGGCCAACAUUUGCUGCAUCGUGUAGGAUGCCUGCUGCUGUAUCUAUCGCACUGUGUAUGAUAUCAAAAGUAAGACUCUUAGCCUUAGCCUUAGACGGUUUAGGCUUGUUGGGAUUUACUGGAGUCAUCAUUUGCUGAGCACCAAAUUAUUCUUUCUCUUUUUCAAUGAGACCACCACUGUGGCACGAAUCUGAUAGGAUUGUGAAGCUUGCUCCUUCUGGUAGCCGGUUAACUAAAUGCCUGAAGUCCACAUCUGUAGAAACCAUGUAUAUAUAGGGUAUGAAUAUAUGUUGCUAAAAAAAUAUAUAAAUUCAAAUAAAAACCUACCGGUGACAAGAUUUAAAUCACAAGCCACGAUUGCUUUAUCUUGCUUGAAAGGCUGGCCAGGUUGAAAGAUUGGAAUGCGUGUUCCAUGUCCACUGAAGUAGAAAAAUAGGAUAUCUCCUGCUUUAGCCUUGUUCACCAUUCUAUUAAGUGCAUCCUUAAUGUUUGCACCCAUAGCCAGAACCGGCGACCCUGGUGCAUCGGUGAGAACAUUAACAUCGCUUUCCUUAAACCCAAAGUUCAGGAUCACACCUCUUAUGGCUUUCACAUCAUUGAUGCAUCCAUGCAAGUUGAAUUGGGUCUUGGGGUAGUUGCAUCCCACCAGAACUGCUCUCUUCGUACCCUUACUCAUCUUGCUUCGCUAAUUUGACUAUUUUGUGUUGCUUGUACCAUUGUAUUAAUGUGCUUCCACUAUCUCACUUAGAACCUAUAUAUAUACACACUAAUUUACAGCAUGUGUACUGACCAUAAAGAUGACGACAUGUAGGUAGGUAGGUAGGCAGGUACAACACUUUUGUUUGUCUUUCGUGUUUUGGAAAAUGCAUGCGAAAUCCCCUUUGGAGGGGUUUUUCCACGUUAAAUUUGUGUGUUCAUCUUCUCAAUUUCUUCUACUAGUUUUUACUUGUUCGUUGCUUAAUCGGGACAAUCCUAACAAAUGGUAUCAGAGCUAGUUCAAUUUUUAUAGAUCAGCCCGUUCAGAGAUGGCAACAACAAAGUUUGAAAUUGAGAAGUACGAUGGUGAGACAAAUUUCAAUCUAUGGCAAGUUCGGAUGAUGGCAAUUCUAGUUCAAAACGGCUUGAAAAGGUUGUUAUAGGGAAAAAGCCUGAGAAUCUAAAUCAAACAAAAUGGGAAGAGCUUGAUGAAAAGGCAUUGUCUGCAAUCCAUUUGUGCCUCGCGAAUACUGUAUUGUAGGAGGUAUUGAUGGAGAAGACCUCAUCUGUCUUAUGGAAAAGGUUAGAAACUCUUUAUGCGACUAAGUUUUUGGCUAACCGUUUAGUGUUGAAACAACGUCUAUUUACGUUUCGCAUGAAUGAAAGUAAGCUUCUUAGAGAUCACAUCAAUUAAUUCAUUACUCUUUUAAAUGAUUUAAGGAACGUUGAUAUUCAUAUUGACGAUGAAGAUCAAGCUAUGCUAUUAUUGUGCUCUUUACUACCUUCAUACAAGUCUUUCAGGGAGACCCUGAUUUAUGGUAGAGACAAACUCUCGUUCAAAGAUGUGAAGGGUCAUUUGUUGAGUAGAGACAAACUCGACAAUGAGUUUGGUUUGAAUAGCAAAGCAAAUAGGAAAGCUUCCGUUUUGGUAGUAUCAAAGAAACGAGACAAAAGGUGUCGCUAUUGUAAAAAGUUAGGUCAUGUCAAAGCAGAUUGUUAUAAACUGCGAAAUAAAAUAGUUGCUGAGAGUAACGAGGAAUAUGUAGCUGGUGCUAAUUUGGUCGAUGAAGGCGGUGAUGAUUUCUUGUUAGUGUCAACGAGAGAUAACUCUAAGCUUACGUCUGAGUGAAUCCUAGAUUCAGGAUGUUCUUUCCACAUGUGUCCCAAUAGAGAAUGGUUCUCCACAUACAGUUCAGUUGAAGGUGCAGUUGUGCACAUGGGAAACUAUUCAUCUAGUAAGAUAAUUGGUAUUGGUACUGUUAAAAUUAGGAUAGACGAUGGGACGAUUAGGACACUCUCAGAUGUCAGUUAUGUACGUAAUUUACGAAAAAAUCUCAUCUCCUCGAGUAUUUUAGACUUGAAAGGAUGUAGAAUCAACAUCGAGUCGAGUGACAUUAAAGUAUCUCGUGGAGCUCUCGUUUUGUUAAAAGGUAAAAGAACUGACAGUCUUUAUAUUUUGGAAGGUUCUACAGUGAUCGGUGAAAUCGGACAUCCCUCGUCCGUUACGGAGUCAAAGUUAACUCGUUUGGAGCGAAGGCAACCUGGUCAUAGGAGGGAAAAAGGUAUGACCGUUUCGUUGAAUAGAGGUUCUCUUUUGGAUGUAGGUUUUGAAAAGUUAGGGCACUAUGUUUGUGAAAAUCAGACUUGGGUUAGUUUUGAUUUGGCAGUGCACAAGUCGGAGGCUAGAAGUCUUCCAGCUUCUAAGUAUAGAUUUGACUCAGUUAAUUUCCUGCAUAGUUCAAGAUAGACCCGUGGCGGGUUUUGGCAAAGAUGGCGUUGAAAGAAUUCGUGUCAAGGUGGAGAUUGUUAAAGUUGUGUGACCCAAAUUCUAAGAGAUUGCUUGCAAGUCAAGUUAAACAAAAAUAAUUUUUUCUUUCUAGAAGAUUUAGUAUUUAUUUGUAUAAUAUAUUUAGCAUUUAUUAGCAUAGUUUAUUUUACUUACUAAUUUAGCCUAUAAAUAGGCUCUUUUACAAUCUUAGAAAAACACACCCAUUAGAUUAGAACUCAUAACAUAUUUAGAGAAUUUUGUGUUUAAGUUUUGAGAGUUCUUUAUUUUUCGAGUUUUCGGGGUUUAGUUUUUAUCUCCAUCUUUUAUACUCUUCGUUCUUUUGCCAUUAUAGUAAAAUUAUAUUUGCCCGUGGUUUUUUAUCCCCUUUGGAGGGGUUUUUCAACGUUAAAUUUGUGUGUUCAUCUUCUCAAUUUCUUCUACUAGUUUUUACUUGUUCGUUGCUUAAUCGGGACGAUCCUAACAGUUUAUUACGUACCAGCUUUGAAAAGCAACAUCAUCAGCCUUGGACAGCUUCUAGAAAAAUGAUAUAAAGUACAUAUGAAGGAUUGUAUGCUCGCCCUAAAAAAUAAGAGUGGUGAAUUAAUUAUCCAAGUUGAUAUUACGCCUAACCGUUUGCUUACUAUUGACAUUGAAUCUGGAGAGGUGAAAUGUAUGAAGAACGUAAUUAAAAAUGAUUCAUGGUUAUGGCAUUUAAGGUUCGGGCAUCUUGGAUUUUCUGGUCUGAAGCUAUUGUUAAAAGAAAAUAUGGUGAAUGGGCUGCCAUAAAUUAAUCUUUCUGAUCAACUGUGUGAAGCCUGCAUUAAAGGAAAACAACAUAGACAGAGUUUUGAAGUUGGAAAAACUCGACGAGCCAAGAGACCAUUGGAGAUCGUGCACUCUGACAUAGCAGGUCCUUUUAAUAUACCAUCACUUGGUGGAAACAAGUACUAUGUUACUUUUAUUAAUGAUUUUAGCAGAAAAAGUUGGAUAUAUCUUCUUAAAACAAAAUCAAAAGCAUUUGACAAGUUUAUCAAGUUCAAAGCCCUGGUAGAAAAACAGAGUGGACAUUUCAUUAAGAUACUUAGAAUUGAUAGAGACGGUUAGUAUACUUCAAAGCUAAUUGAAAGCUUCUGCAAGGAGCACGAAAUUAUUCACCAGUUGACAACUGCAUACACGCCACAACAAAAUGGAGUCAUUGAAAGAAAGAACCGCACUAUUCUUGAUAUGGCAAAAAGCAUGGUUAAAUGUAAGCAUUUACUAAGAGCUUUCUAGGCUGAAGCUGUUCAAUGUGCUGUUUAUUUGUUGAACCAGCAUCCAACAAAAAGUGUGAAAUACAAGAUGCCAAACGAAGCUUGGAACAAUUAGAAGCUAGGAGUCGAACAUUUCAAGAUUUUUGGAUGCAUCGUAUAUGCUUAUGUUACUGACCAGAUGAGAAAGAAGCUUGACGAUAAAUGAGUAAAAUGUAUUUUCAUUGGUUAUGAAAAGAGAAGCAAGACAUACAGGUUAUACAACACUCUCACCAAGAAAGUUAUUAUUUCAAGAGAUGUUGAAUUCGAUGAAGCUGAUUACUGGAGAUGGAACGAAAAAGAGAGGAAAAUUGAUGGAUUAUUUUUCAGUGAUCACAAAGACGACGACUUUAUUAAUCAAGAACAAGGCGACGAUGAAAGCCCUCCUGUAACACCCCUUACCCGAGACCAUCGUCGGAAUCGAGUACGAGAUGUUAUCCAAUUUAACCUACCAAUUUAGAGCAUAAAAAUUUGCUUUUAAAAUUAAAUUCACUGUUCACAACAAAACUGUCCACCUGCGCGACUGUCACUAAUUUACUUAUAACUCAAGUUACAAAACUCAAAAUUUAAAUCUGUAAAUUUUCCCUGAAACUAGACUCAUAUUCCUAAUUACCAUAUAAUUUUCAGAAUUUUUGACUUAGCCAAUUAGUACAUUUUAUUCAUUAAAGUAUCCCCUAUUUCACAGCUCGACAGAUCUGACCUCUUGCCACUAAAAAUCAAUUAUCUCAUUGUACAGAAUUCAUAUAAGGUUACCGUUUAUUUAUUUUGAAAAUAUACUCACUAAGGAAUCUAGAAAUAUAAAUUAUGACCCAUAAUUAUUCCUGUACAAUUUAUAAUGAUUUUCCAAAGUCAGAACAGGGGACUUCAAAAACCAUUCUGACCCUGUCUCACUAAAAUUCAAAUAUCUCAAAAUACAGAAUUCCUUUGCCUACACUGUUUCUUUCAUAUAAAAAUAGACUUGAUAAGCUUUAAUUCCAUAUAUAAUUAACUCUCUAAUUCCAUUUAUACUAUUUAUGGUGAUUUUUCACAUUCACGUCACUGCUGCUGUCAAAGAAACUGCUUCUUUGAAUUAGUUAACAUUUAACAUACAUAACACCCAAAACAUAAUUUUUACUAACCAUUUCAAUAGCUAAUCUUAGCCAUAUCAUAUGAACAUACUCAAAAUGAUUAACACUCUAUACAUGCCAUAGUUUUAAACAUUCUGAAAAGCACAUAAUACCGAGAUGAUUAUAAUAGUGUGAUACGAGCUCCGACGAUCCCCAAUUCGACCAAGUUCAAAUCACUAUAAAACAAAGGAAAAGAAGAAAGGUGUAAACUACUAAUAGCUUAGUAAGUUACAUGUAAAUAAUAAUUACUCAUUUAAUAAUUAACACUUUUAACAUAUAACUAAUCAAAACAUUUCUUAGCAAUUUCUAUCACUUAUACAUACACAAUCUUACCAAUUCACUUGCAUAUACAUUUUCACACUUAAUCUUUAUCACUAUGCUCAUUCUUUUCAAAUGUACCUGCAUACACACUUCAUUUCAUAUUCACUUUAACUCAUUAUUAAUCCCGUUGAACACUCGGAAUAUACACAGAUACGUAGAGAUUUAGCACAUAAGUGCAACACUGAUAUGUAGCCGAAGCUACCACUAUUAUAUAGCCAAAGCUACCACUGAAAUGUAGCCGAAGCUACCACUGUUAUGUAGCCGAAGCUACCACUGAAACGUAGCCGAAGCUACCACUGAUCAAUAACACUGGAAAUGUCCACAGGCCUGCUCACACAAGCUGUCAGGUGUCUGCAACACAUGCUAGAUCACCCAGCACCCGGGACUCACUGUAACACUGUAACACUGAUCUCUAGUGACAUGUCACUUGUAUCCACUUCUAUUCCUAAGUUCAACCGGGAAUUUACACUUAACACUUUAUUUUUAACACUUUAUUUUCAACACUUUAACACUUGAAUAAUUCAUGAAUAAUUUUCCUUCCACAUUGAAUAUUAAUUCACAUAUCAAAUAUAAUUCACAAUUUAUAAAAAUAUAACUAUUAUUUACACAUAACUUACCUCGGAUGCAAAACGACUAUUUUUGUAAUUUAGUCGAUAACUUUCUCUUUUCCCCGAUCACUUCCACUAUUUCUUCUUUCUUGAUCUAUAUUAACACAAUUUAAUACAUUUUAUCAACAUUUCAUUCAAAUAAAAUUCAUACACAACAUUUUGACAAAUUUACAUUUUUCCCCAAAACUUUUCAAAAAUUCCACUUUUGUCCCUAAGCUCGUAAAAAUAAAAUUCACUAAAUUUUUAAAUUUCAAACUUCACUAAAUCAUAUUUCAUGCUUAUAACAGCCCUCAAUUUCACCAAAUCACAACUUUAUGCACACUUUACCAUCUUUCACAAUUUAGCCCUUUUUCAAUAUUUUCAUCAAAAUUCAUCUAGUAAAACUUGUAAUUAACACUUCAAACAUUCAUUAUCUAACAUCACUAAUCAAUUUACAAUUAUAUCAUGAAUGGGUCAAUUUUUAAACUUUAAUUUCAUUUAAAUUAAAUAGUAGAAACAUGAAAUUCAAGCAUCAAUAAGCAUAAAAAUAUGAAAAUAGUUAAAAAUGGGGCAAGAAAUCACUUACAAUUGAGCUUAGAAAAAUCAAGAACCUUAGCUAUGGUAACAUGAAACUUUCGGCAGCAAGCUUCUGAUUUUGAAGAAGAUGGACACUUAUUUUCUCUUUAUUUUGUCUUUUUCUCAAUUUGGACAAAAAUGCCCUUGACCCAUUACUUAGAUAUUUUUCUAGAAUUACCCUUUUGUGUCCAUAACACUAAUUUAUGGUCUAAUUGUCACAUAAACACUUCCAAUUUCAUGCAAUAAUUCAAUUAAGUCAUUUAAUCACUAAUUAGACACACUUUGCAUUUUUUUCAAUUUAGUCCUAAAAAUUCAAUUAAGCACUAAAUCAUUAAAAUUUCCAAUCCAUAUUUUCACACAAUAUUUCAAUCAAUCAGUAACUUAUAAAAAUUUAUAAAAUAAAACUAUUUCACUUCGGAUUUGUGGUUACGAAACCACUAUUCCGAUUAGGCCCUAUUUCGGGCUAUCACACCUCCUUCAAGUCCUGUUGCAACAACUCUUACAGCAUCAUCAUCACCAACCAACAACAGUACCAGCAACUCAGAGGAAGCACCUGCAAUAAUGCGUAGUUUACGCGAUAUUUAUAAUGUUACAGAACCAUAGAAAUAACACUCGAUUAUUCAUUAUUCUAUAUAAUGACAGAAUGUGAUUCAAUAACAUAUAAAGAUGCAAUUGAAGAUGUUAGAUGGAAAAAGGCAAUGGAUGAAGAAAUUACAACAAUAAUAAGAAAUGACAUAUGAGAGCUAACAAGUCUACUAGAAGGACAUACUCCAAUUGGAAUCAAAUGGGUGUACAAGACGAAGACCAACAAAGAAGGAAAAAUAGAGAAAUCCAAAGCAAGACUAGUUGCAAAAGGCUACAAGCAAAGAUACGGUGUGGACUAUGAUGAAAUAUUUACUUCGGUCGCCAGAAUUGAUACUAUAAGACUUCUCAUGGCAAUUGCAGCACAAAAUAAAUGGAAAAUUUAUUAGAUGAACGUGAAGUCAGCAUUCCUUAAUGACUACCUGGAAGAAGAAGUCUAAAUUGAACAACCACCUGGAUAUAGGAAACAAGGACAAGAAGACAAAGUUUAUCACUUGAAGAAAGCUUUAAAUAGACUGAAGCAAGCCCUGAGAGCAUAGAACACAAGAAUAGAUGAAUACUUUUAGAAGAACGGGUUCAUGAAAAUCCCAUACGAGCAUGCUCUAUAUACAAAGAAAAAUAAAGUUGGUGACAUCAUGAUCGUGUGCUUAUAUGUGGAUGAUAUGAUUUUCAUGGGAAACAAUCCAGGUAUGUUCAAUGAAUUUAAGAAAGCUAUGACUAAAGAUUUUGAAGUGACAAAUAUUGGUGAAAUGUCAUACUUUCUUUGAGUCGAAGUGAACCAAAUGAAAGAUGGAAAAUUUGUGUCUCAAAAAAAAUAUGCAGAACAGAUUUUAAGAAAAUUCAGAAUGAAAGAUUGCAAGCAAGUAGCCACGCCCGUAGAACCAGGCAUGAAAUUAAGUGUUGGUUCAUCCGGAGAGUCGGUAAAUCCAAUGUUGAAUAAAAGUAUUGUUGGAAGUUUAAGGUACUUGACUAUCACAUGGCCAUACAUCAUGUACGUAGUGGGAACAGUUAGCAAAUACAUGGAGAAGCCAAAACAAGAUCACCUGAUUGCAGCAAAGAGAAUUUUGAGAUACAUCACAGGUACGAUGGAUCAUGGUUUAUUUUAUACACACUCACAGAGUUCAAAAUUGGUUGGUUAUUUAGAUAGUGAUUAUGGUAGUGGCUUUGAUGAUCGCAAAAACACAUCCAGAUAUUUAUUCCAUAUUGGCUUCGCGGCAUUUUCUUGGUCAUCGAAAAGUAACAAACAGUAGCUAUCUCAACAUGUGAGGCAAAAUUCAUGGAUGUUGCAACAUGCACGUCUCAAGCAAUUUGGUUGAAGAAUAUUUUAGGUGAAUUAACUAUUAUACAAGAAGGUCCAAUUAUAAUUUAUGUUGACAAGUCCACAAUAUCUCUUGUAAAGAAUUCAGUGUCUCAUAGUCGAAGCAAGCAUAUGGAUACAAUGUAUCAUUUUAUUCGAGAGCAAGUGAAAAAUAAAAAUGUAGAGUUAGUUUACUCCAAAUUAGAAGAUUAAUUGGCGAAUAUUUUUACGAAACCAUUGAAAACGGACAUAUUCUAUAAACUCAAAGAAAAGCUUGGAAUGAAAAGUUCAAGGGGAAGUGUUAAAAAACAAACCAACUUUCAAAGUCGGCAUAAAAAUUGCAGCCAAAGAAUUUCUAUCCAAAUUGGCUUGAAAUUGAAUUGCAAAAGUAGCUGCAACUUUGUAAAUUGGCCUGCACAAAUGAUAAAGGAUAAUGAUGACAGCAGCUUGAAUAGUCUUAGACGGCAAGGCUUGAUAAAGUUUAAGUCGGUUUACUAUGCUUAUAAAUAUGUAAGUAGAGUCUUAUGAAAUUAAAAUUAAAUGAGUGUGUGUGAAAACGUUAGUGAGCUUGAGAGGAAAAAAAGAAAGAAAGGUGUUGUGAGUUGUAUAAAAAGGAAAAACUAGCAGCAGCUAGUAGAGAGAGAAAAAAGAGUUUAUAUUUGUAUUGUGUUUAUUUGUGUGUAAUAAAAAAUUAGUACUUGAGUUAUUUUUAUUACCCUUCCAACAUAUUAUAUGUUCCAGUGUUGAUGGCAUUGGCAACUGAUGUUGUGUCCAAGAAGCUUGACGUCGUGCUCAUGACGUUGGCUGCUGUUUGCAGGCUCUAAUAUAAUGUUUCAAUGGAAAUGCCCCUAGUCCUGUAAUCAACAGAUGGUGCUAUACCACUUAGAGUACUAUGGGGUCCAAUUUGAGUAAACUCGAUUAAGUAAUUCUAGUUUCAGAUUGAAGUCGGGUUAAAUUUUACAAUUCGAAUAACUCAAAUAAUAGAUUGGUGUAAAUACACGUUUGGCCCCGGUCAAUUUUAAAAAUGAGCAGAUUGAUCUUUCUCUCAACAAAAAUUACAAAAAAAUUCUAAAUAUUUAUAAAAAUAAAAAAAAUCUAAAGAAUAUAUAAAAAAUUAAAAAAGAUUCUUAAAUAAUCAUUUUUGAGACCUAAAUAAGUAAAUUAAUUAUUCAAAAUUUUCAUACUAAAAUAUCUUUAUUUUCUCUUAUUUUUCUUUGAAUAAAUUUUCAAGAAUAUAUAAUUUUAAAUUUAUGUAAUCUAACAUAGAAUUGAUUAUAUUGUAAAAAAAAAUUUAAUGUUUUAGUCGAUUGGAACGGAUGCACAUCUCUACUGAUCAAAAUUGAUCCGCAUAUAUUUUUUUUCUCUAACUGAAAAGGAUCUCUUCCAAAUUAAUGAUCUUGGAUUGAAACAUGUCAAAUUUACCACAAAUCGUUUAUGAUAGAAUCGGACCCGUGUGACCUUGAAAUCACUCUCCUAAUACAUGUUAUUGAUGAAGAUUGUCGGACACCUUGAAUUUCUCCGCACCAUUUAAUGUUCGGCCCACUUGGCUAUAACAAUCCGAAACCUCCCUUAACCUAACUUAUAAGAUUAAAAAAACUCUAAAUAAGAGAAUAAAAACUUUUAUUUAUUUAUUUAUUUAUACACUAGAAUUUCACACUAUAUAAGAAGAUGCAUAAGAAAACAGCGGUAGGUAGAUAUAAGUCAACAGGCUGUCAAAUUUAUUCUAGUAGUAGUGCAAAACAUAAGCACAUUACUGACAGCCUGAGCACCAGCAUUUUGAUCAGAAAUUUAAGCAAAGCCACCCAAGAAAAGUGUGUUUGUAUUCUCAUCACUGCAAUAAAGGCAAGGGUUCUGCUCGAAUCCAUUGUUCUUCAAAAUCUUGGCAGCCUCAGCCACAAAGGCUUUAUUCUCCAAGACCAGGUCAUAUGAUGUCUCAUUGGCG